rnacentral:lncRNA from 1 species
AAGUUAAUGUGAUCAAAAGUAGGAGCCGGCUCUGUGAUCUCUGGGAAGGUCCUCAGACUUGAGCAACCACACAAAUCAAGGUUCCUCAACUUCAAAUUGAAAAUGGUGCUUGGAAAAGUUUGUAGUGAACUACAGUGGGUAAGGUCUAACUUGCAUAGUCUGGUGAGGCUUCCAAUGGAAGAUGGAAUAAUCUCAAGAUUGAAGCAACUGCACAAACUCAGUUGUUGAAGCCCUACCAAACGGCACAAGGAUGAAGGUAGUGCCUGUAUGGCUGUGUCGUCUAAGAUGAGCACCACUAGAUCUUCCAACGUGUCCUGAAUCUGGGGUAAAUUUUCCAAUUUUGAGCAACCACGGAGUGAAAGUUGCUUUAGGAACUUCAUAUCAGAAAGGUCAAAUGGAAAGAUUGUAAGGGAAGAACAGUGAGAGAGAUCUAAGUGACAGAGCCUCUUGAGAUUUUGAAAGUUUGAGGGUACACCUUCGAGUAUUGUCGACACUUCACAUUGUGAGUAUAUAGUAUUAUUACCCACUUCUUCUUCGUUAUAUCUGUCAAAACUAAUUGAGGAAAUUUCACUGGAAGUUGGGAAAAUACCUUUAGCAUUAUGGAAUUUAACAGUCCCUCCCAAAAGUAAACUUGAGAAAGUUGGACGUUGACCCUCCAGUUUCACAUGAAGGUAUCUGGGUUGACUGGUUGAAAACAUUUCAAGCUCCUCACAGUGAGAAAGAAUGAUCAAUCCUGGAGAUGUGGAUAAAAUCUUGUUGGGAAUAUUUACACUUUUGAGAUGAUAACAAUGAUCUAAACAUAAACAACUGAGCUUGCUGAGGAAUAUCGAAGAGUGAACUUUAAUCAACUUUUGACAAUAACUCAGAAUUAGUUCUUCAAUAUUCGGUGACAGAGAAAGGUCUGGUAUUCUAGUAAGUUUCAGAGAAUGACUCAGGUUGAGCCUUUUCAAGUUGGGUAAAUUCUGCCACAAAAAGUAAAUGAAUCAGGUAACAAUGAAAAACUAAAAUAAAGUUUUAUGCAAUUUUAUCUAUUUUUCUUCGGUAAACUAUGAGCUACAUCAUCUAUCGAGUUUAUAUUUUACAUAAAACCACUGUUAAAAAAAUCACACUGUUAACUAACAAAAUUAUGGUCACUAUAAAUUUUAUAGUUAUUAUAAAAAUUCACAAAAUUUAACGUGUUUUUGUUCUCUACCUAAAAUUACAUCCUAAUAAUUUGAACCUAAGCUUAUUAUGUAUUGAAAAACUUACUAUAGUAAUUUAUAAUCCAUGACAAUGUCGAAAUACUUUAUACUAUGCAUGUUAAAAUUUGAUAAAAUGUCGAAAUACUGACAAAAUAAAAAUGGUGUUUUCCGAGAGUUAAAAUUAAACUUUAGUUAAAAUAAGUCCAUCUUUACAUAUUUUAUAAUUUGUUGUAUAUUAUAUUGAAGUUGAUGUUAUAAUAAAAAAAUGACUUAAUUAAUCGAAAAAUGUGGAGAAAACACAAAGAAAUUGCAAAUGCUUGUAUAAUUUAUUUUUAUCUUUGAAAGUUUAAAAGACAAAGGAACAUAGAUAACUUGAAAAACCUGAUCUCCUUCCCAGAGUUGUUCAAGACGGCAGCCUGGCAUUUCGAGGAUCACUAGAUUUUGUGGGCAAAAGUUUGGAGGCCAAAAUCUUUGCGGGAAAUCUCUCCAAUAAAGAAACUUUAGAGUGUCUGGCAGACCUACGAGAGAUGAUUCAAGAGACACAUUUGAUAUGUAUUCAGUUGAGUAGAGUAAAAACGUCCAAAGAUCAUCCAACUCUUUACGAGACACAUCUGAUAUGUAUUUAGUUUUAUUUUGCUCGUAUCUAGUAAUAUACACUGUAUUGCAUCUGACCCCUGAAAGUAAAUCAAUGUAAUUAGAAGAAAAAAACAUGAAAUGUUGCAUUGCAGGAUGUUUGAUGACAGCUCAGUGGUUUGCAAUUUUUCACAAAGUAAAUUAAUGACAGGUCAGUAGUUAUAUACCUUAUUCUUUCUUAAAACCUCACAAAUUUCCUCAGCAUUAAACAAUCGGCUGCGUUUUCCAGGAUGCUGAGGACACUCUUUACGAACAAUUUCUUUACCCAUUUCUUCUAUUAGAUCGUGCAUCACAAUUCUACCAUCAAUGACAGAUAUUAGGCCCCUAUCUUUCAGAAUAUCCAUUCCAAUCUUAGAAGAGAAACCAAAGUCAUCAAGUCUUUCUGCUACCUCAAUCUCCUCGUGACCUCUAUAAAAGCAAGCUAUGUCAAGAAAUAUAUUCUUCUCCUCCUCCUCCAGCCCAUCAUAACUUAAUUUUAAUACAUUGAAAAUACCAAGAUGUUGGCCCUUUUUCAACUUUUGCAACUCACUCUCCCAUGCUUCUCUUGUUCUGCCAUAAAGCAAUGACCCCAAAAUCUGGAGAGCUAACGGAAUCCCUUUUGCAUAUCUCAACACCUUUUCUGACAGGUCCAUGUAAGAUUUUUCUGCUGAAGAUUUUUGUUUAAAAGCAUGUAAACUAAAAAGUUUAUGAGAAUCAUCAAAAUUCAACUCCUUAACCUCGUAGAUAUCAUCAGCUCCAGCAUUUCUAAGCACUUGUCUGUCUCUACUGGUCAUAAUGAUUCUACUGCCCUGCCCAAAACUACCACUCCCUCCUAUUAAUUUUUUAAGUAUAGCUGAAUCGGUAACAUCAUCAAGAAUGAGGAUAGCCUUUGUCCGUUUGAGCCUUUCAUUGUAAUAUGAUAAAUCAGGGGAUUUCUUUAUCUCUUCCUUUAGAAGCACAGACAGAUAUUUUCUUCUGAUACUGUCUAUUCCAUCUCUUUGUAUUUUUUCUUGAACGUCUAAAACAAGGCUGCUGGAAUCAAACUGCACUGCCAAUUUCUGAUAUAUUUGAUUACAAAUUGUAGUUUUUCCUAUUCCUCCCAUGCCACAAAUUCCUAUGAUCCGAACAUCCGUUGACUCAAGAUGCAACAAGGACUGAAUUCCUUCAAUAUUUUUUUCAAUGCCGAUGAUUCCUUGAUCAUAACUGGUGGAAUAACGAUUCAAUUUUCUCAAAAUAUCUUCCACAAUUUCUUCAACAAGUGCGUGUUCUGGCCUGGCAGAUGAUUUAGAAAAUAAAGUAUAAGUAUUCAAGCACAAAAGCUAAAGUAAACUAAAGAAAAAUUUUACAGUAACCGUUUGUGACUUCUGAUACUAGGGAGCAGACUUGUAGGUACAAAGUUAAACUAUAAGAUCAGAUAUGGUUCAGAUCCAUGACCGACUAAGAGAAAUGAAAAAAGAAACACUUGAUUUAUGGUGAGAUGAACACAAUUUUAGUAAAUGAAAAGAGAUCCUGAUUAUCUAACAAAUAUAAUGACCUGGUGACUUUUGAAUCCCAGCCUGCAAGUUUAGCAGCUUCAGUUAGAGCAUCCUUCCAUCCUUGCACUUUAUCGUGCUUAAGGUGCUGCUCAUGCUUUUCGAAUGCUUCAUUGUAUCUUUGUUCCUGCUUCCUAAUAGUUGAUGGAUCCACCUUGUAGAAAACAGGUAUGACAUCCCUUCCAAAUCUCUUCUUGCAUUCAAGUAUCUUAGUGAGUUCAUUCAAGCACCAAGUGGAAGAUGCAUAGUCUUGGGAGAAAACGAUGACAUAAAUCUUUGAUUCUUCUAUUGCAGAGAGGAGAGCAGGUGAAAUUUCUUCGCCCCUGUUUAAUCUGUAAUCAAUAUACGCUUCAAUGUUCUUCCUCUGCAGCGCUGCAUAAAGGUGACUAAUGAAGUUGUCACGUGUGUCUUCCCCUCUGAAGCUGAGAAACACAUCAUGCUUUGUUAGAGAAGUAGACACGGGGAAUGAUGAAGAACUUCCUGACAUUGGAAUCAAUUUUCUCUCCUUUCUCUGCAAAUCUCAGAUUCCUUUGUUUGUACCAUUUCUACCUGAAGAAGUGUUUAAAUUUUCUCAAAAUACCUUGCACAGCGUGUUCUGGUCAGACAUAAAGAAAAAGACAAAUAUUAAGUUAAUAGAAUAGUCAACAAUUUAAAAAAUAAGUAUGAAAUAUAGAUAUAUAUCAUUAUCACGUGUGGAAGCUACGUCGUCUUGUAUUGGAUUUUCUAAUCUGCCUUUUAUCUUGUCUCAUUCUUCUUUAUCUUUUUUCUCUCAUCUCUCUUGCUUACGAUUUCUUUGCCUUUAUUCAGAAAUUUUAUUUAUAAUAAACCUUCAAUAAUAUUUGUACUUUCUAGCAUAUAGAAUACUUAAUGGAUCCUUUUCUGAUUUUUCUUUUCUAAAGUGCAAUUGAUAUUUUAAAUGUUUUUCUAUUUAAUUUUCCUUUCUUAAUGACACAUAAAAUGGUUCAGUGCACAAUUAAUUACUCUCACCUUAGAUUUCAUUCAUCUCAUUCCAUUUCCACACUCAAAUCAUUCUCACAUUUGUUUCUACCUGUUUCACAAAGUUUUAGUUAAAAUAUGGAAAUUAAUGUUCAAGAACCCUACUUAAUAUUAAUAUUCAACAAUUUAAAAUAUUAAAAUGCAAAUUAAUCUUUCUUAAUAAUGUCAUUUUUAUGUAAAAAAUAAAAUGUAGUUUAGUCAUUUAUACUUAGAUGGAUAAAGAUGGUUUUAGAAAAAAAAAUGCAUUUUAUUUCAAAGGUUAUCUAAGCUCUGAACUCAUUUAUGAAUUAAUAAUAAUAAAUAAUAUGUAAUUGUAUUCCAAUACCAUAUAAUUUUUUUUAUUGGGUGCGUUUCUGAUGAAUUAAUUAAUGCACUCUAGGGACAAUGAUCGCUCUAGUAUUUGAUUUUUUUAUUUAUUUUAAUGUUGAAAUUAUAGCUAUUUAGUACAGAUACUAUUGACACCGACACAGAUACGACACAGACACAGAGAUACUUAAAAUCUCUAAAAUGUAAGAUACAGAGACAUUAAUCUAUAUAUUAUAUAAUUAUGAAUUAUAUAAAUUAACAAUAAAGACUUAUGUGCACAAGUAUUUUGGAGAUUAUUUUUUAAGCAGAAAUAUGUUUUUCAUGACUGUUUCACAAAGAUUUGUUUCUUAUUUUUAUAAUCAUAAUAACAAUUUAUACCAUAAAGUUUGAAUUUUAGAAAAUUAAUGUAUUUUUUCUUUUUAAAAUUCCGUUAGAAUCGUACUAAAAUUGUAAAAAAUCUAACAAAUACAUUUUGAAUUGGACAUUUCACAAAUACAUGUCCUACCAGUAUCAUACGAAUGUAAACAAAAUUCUUUCUUCAUAUGCCGCAUUCUUUUACUGUGAUAACUCAUUUCAACUCUCUCACAACUGAUUCGUAAUCUGUGGGAUGCAUUAAAGCCUUUUGCAGUUAAAUCAAUAGUAUAUGAUGAUGUGAAUGUUAUUUAUAUACUAAAUAUAAUCACAUAGUAACUUCAAAUUUGAUAAGGUACAACAUGUUACCAUAUCUCUUUUAAUUUCUUUUAUUUCAUUAUAUAUUUAGGUGUAUUUAAUUUCUUUUUAUUUCAUUGUGUAUUUAGGUGUAUUACGUAAAAUAUAUAAUUAAAAAGAAAGAAGAAUAAUGUUAUUUUUAAAUUUAAAGAAUGACAUAUAGAAAUAAACAAGCUAUUUUGAAAUUUUUAGAUUUUACAAAACAUUACAUUUUGAUUUUAAUAUUUAUAAAAUAUUUUUUAAUUUCAUAUUUAAAACACAACACUUAGUUGAGUGUGUUCCUUAGUUACUUACCAAAUAACAACAUACAUCUUAUCGGGUCUUUUUGCGACCCGACCCAAACUCAUCUCGAUCCUAGUAGGGUUCGCAUCAUCUUCAAUUGAGGAGUAGAUUUGUCAGGAGGAAAAUAAAUUGAUUUAUAAGAACAUGUGAAGUUGUUUAGAUUGAGGAAUAAUAGAUGGAUUUUGAUUAUGAUUUAUGGUAAGUUUAAAAAAAAUAGAUUUGUUUCUUUUAACAUUUUUUGUAUUAUAAUUAUUUGCUGGCUGAAUUGUUUUGAGUUAACAUGUUUUCUUGGGGUAUGAUAUUGUGAGGUUUUAUUACAUGCAGGUACGUGAAUAUUUUUUUUAUUCUAGUUGUAUAAAUCAGGAAAAAAUGUUUUUCACAAUAUAAUUAUAAUAACCGUUUAACAACCUAAAUAAUAAUAAAAUAUUAACUCAUAUUAUUUAAUUAAAUUAUUAAAUAAAAAGUAGUAAAACUGAUUGUAGGAUGGGAAUAUGAUUAUUUUUAACUGCUAGCUCCUCAUUAUUCUUUUAUAAUAAAAAACACACUAGUAGGUGUUGAAAAUCGUAAUAUAACAAACAAGUUUUGACACACGUAGGUUUGGCAAUUGUUUUAAUAGCUGAAAAUAGUAAAACAAUUUUUAAUUACCACAAACUGCAUCUUAAAUCAUAAAAAAUAGCAUUUUUUAGUUCAUAUAUAAUAACAUUUCCAUAAAUAAAUCUCCCGCCGCCAUUGAUAUUAAUCAUUAAUAAUUUUAGAUAAUAUUUUUUACUAUAAAACAUUUAAUUGAGAUUGAAUUUUUAAUUCACACUUUUUGGUCAAAGAAUAAUAUAUUUCAUUUUUUUAUUUAUUAAAUAUUUUGUAUAAUGCUGAGAAAAAAAAAUCUCACACACACACACACAUAUAUAUAUAUAUGAUCCCUAUGUCCUACAAGUACAAUAUAACAUCGUUAGUAUAAUGAAUAAAAAUAAUGAGUAUUCAAAGUCGUGUAUUUACGUAAAAGAAUAACAUGAUUUUUAAAAGAACUCACAUUAUCAGUUUAAAUUUUGACGAUAAAAUACAUUAAUUAUAUAUAUUUAUUCAAAAUUUCAAUUAUAUUAUGCAUUAAUGGUUUUAUGCUUUUAGAGGAAUCAGAGAAACUUAGAAAAGCUUAAUGAAACCCUAUGAAUAAAGGAGAUGUAAAAGAAAGAGAAAAAGGAAGUGAGAAAAGAUGAUAAUUAAUAAACACCCACUCUUCAUAACAUAGAGUCUUUAAACCUAUAUUCCCUCAAACAGCAUUUAUAAGUUAUUAUCACCCACAUGGAAUAAGGUGCCUCAAUGUGAACAAACCAAGAUCAGUAAGAAAUAUGAGGUUCAAAUAACGAAGCUGAGAAUUUUCUGGUUUUACAGCUCCAUGCACAAACCUAAUACAAUGAUAUGAUAUUCCAUAGGAUGGAGAAAAGUAUGAUAUGAAGAGGAUUUACCAAUUACCCUUUCGAAUGCAGCUCCUCAGGAUUCCAUCAUGCCUUCACUGCACAUGCAACCCAAAUAUGCUAAAGAAGUUAAUCAAACCCAAAUAUAAAGAAUUUCUAGAGAAUGCAACUCUGGGACAACAGAGUACCCCAUCUCAAGCUGAACAGAAACAUUAAACUAUAUCUAACAAUAACUUAGAAAUCUUUGUCAACAAUGAACGAAUCCAACCGUAAAAUGCCAUUGAAAAUGUAAAUAAAACAAAAUAAAUUAGAUAUGAGAAAUUCAUGAUAAAAUUUCAACACUUGUAAUGUAGAAGCAUUACGAUAAGCCAGUUUUGAUCCUCACCAAUGAAAGUCUAAUUAGCAGAAGAGGAAGAGACUAGUUGACUGGGUAGCUUUCUGCAAUGCCUAUUUUAAGGUUACGCUUCCGGCAAAAAUAUAAUAGAAGACUGCUCUCAUGUCAAAGUUUCUCAUACAUAGAACAACCCGCAAAAGAGAUUAAACAUUCCAAAAGAUGUCUCAACAGAAAUGAAAUGAGAUCCUAACAACUUGUUGGGAAAGUACUAUUUUGCCUUCAAUUCCAUUACUUCCUUUUGCCUUUAAGAGUGCAGUCAUAAUCAUCAAAAUACUUAGACUUUGUGAUAUGUCUUUUGGGCUUGCUAUUCAUCUUUUGUUGCCUCCUCUUGAGCCAUAACACUUUUGGCCUUCCUCUUCCUAUAUUCCCUUGUGUCUCUUGAAGACUGUGCAACAUUACUUCGACUGGAUUAUUCAAUGUGAACAGCACCACCAUAUUCAUCAUCUUUCUUUUUGGAAUAAAGAGGGCAUAUGCCGCAUUCUUUUACUCUGAUAUCGGGCCACCAAUGGCUGAUCUCAAAAGUGAAGCUGCGAGCAUCACAGAGCCUAAGGCUCAUGCCGCUUGCCCUUAGGGACUCCAAGUUAAAUUUCCACACAAAUGUGUGAUCUUUAUCAAGAAAUCUGCCUGCAUCCGUCAAGUUUAACACAUCAUUAUUUGGAAUGAUCUGUGUGCCAUCAUCAUCAGAUUCAAAUUUUAGGCUGUAACCAAAAGAACUAUAUCUACCUUUAAUAUCAUUCGUAUCUAACACUUCAAAAACCACGCACAAAGAGAAACCAGUGAGCCUAUUAUCGCUGCAAAAACUUAAAUCUUCAUUUAUAGUCACUGAAUGUCCCUUCCCACGAAAAUGGAACCAACCAGGAACUGCACUCCCUGGAUAACAGAAGAACACAGACCUAUAUGCAUCGUCGGUCAUCCUAAGCCUUGCAUCCUUCUCAAUGUUAGCACGACCACCUGAAUCCAGUUGUUGAGCAUUGGUGAAAUGAAAUUUGAAUACACCCUCUUUGGAAUUUGAGAGGUUCCGAACAAGAGAAUUUGACAUCACUUUUCUAAUGGAUGGGCAAUCCAAUGCCACGAGUUGUUUUAGAAAUGGUGGAAUCGGUGGGAUGCAUUCAAGCUUUUUGCAGUCGCUUAAAUCAAGCGAUUUCAAGCUCGAAAGAUGAGCAAUGCUCUCAGGAAGGUUCACGAUUCCGCUAUCACGCAGUGACAGUUCCAUUAAUGACGUCAAACGACCAAUGUGCCUUGGGAUUUCUGUUAAUUUGGCACACCCCGAACAAUCAAGUUUAGAGAGAAGCUUCAGAUUAACAAUGCAGUUUGGAAGUGACUCGAGAUCAGUGCAUUUGCGGAGCUCCAGGGAACGAAGAUUAACGAAAUUGGCAAAUGAGGAAGGCAGUUCUUUAACAGUCGUAGAUGUUAAGUUAAUGUGAGCAAAAGUAUGAGCCGACUCCGUGAUCUCUGGGAAGGUCCUCAGCCUUGAGCAACCACGCAAAUCAAGGUUCCUCAACUUCAAAUUGAAAAUGGUGCUUGGAAAAGUUUGAAGUGAAUUACAGUGGGCAAGGUCUAACUUGCAUAGUCUGGUGAGGCUUCCAAUGGAAGAUGGAAUAAUCUCAAGAUUGAAGCAACUGUGCAAACUCAGUUGUUGAAGCCCUACCAAACGGCACAAGGAUGAAGGUAGUGCCUGUAUGGCUGUGUCGUCUAAGAUGAGCACCGCUAGAUCUUCCAACGUGUCCUGAAUCUCGGGUAAAUUUUCCAGUUUUGAGCAACCACUGAGACAAAGUUGCUUUAGGAAUUUCAUAUCAGAAAGGUCAAACGGAAAGAUUGUAAGGGAAGAACAGUCAGAGAGAUCUAAGUAACAGAGGUUCUUGAGACUUUGAAAGUUUAAGGGCACACCUUCCAAGAGACUGUUGAACACCUCUGAGUCUUCUGAGUCUGUAGCAUUAUUAGCCACUUCUAUAUUAUAUCUGUCAAAAGUAAUUGACAAAAUUUCACUGCUUGGGGAAAUUUCACUGGAAGUUGGGAAAUUUAUCUCUUUCGUCAUAUCCAGUUCCUGACGCUCCAGUAUGACAUGAGGGAGAAAUUUAUCUUCAUGUUUACUGAUUGAAAACAUAUUAAGCUUCCGACAAUGGGAAAGAGUAAUCCAUCCUGGUGAUGUGGAUAAAAUGUUGCUCGGAAUAUUUACACUAUUCAGAUCAUCACAAUGAUCUAAACAUAAACAACUGAGUUUGCUGAGGAAUAUCGAAGAGUGAAUUUCAAUCAACUUUUUACAAUAACUCAGAAUUAUUUUUUCAAUAUUUGGUGACAUAGAAAGGUCUGGUAUUCUAGCAAGUUUCCAAGAACGUGUCAGGUCGAGCCUUUUCAAGUUGGGUAAAUUCUGCCACAAAAAGUAAAUGAAUCAGGUAACAAAUAAUAACUACUUUAUCUAUUUUUCUUCCUAUUUAAACUAUUAGCUACUACUAUUGAGUUUAUAUUUUACAUUACUUAAAAACCACUGUUAAAAAAGCCACACUGUGGACUAACAAAAUUAUAUUUUAAAAUAUUAUUAAAGAUAAAAUAUGAAGAUAGGGUAAUUAAAUUAAAUAUAAUUUUUAUUUUUCAGAAAUGAUGAAAAUUAUAAUUAAAUUAACUAAAUUAUAUAAAAUUCCAUUUUAUUUACAUAACUCCUUUUCAUAUUAAAAAACUAUAUAAGAUCUUGAAACUAUAAUUAAUAUCUUAAAAAUUUAAAUAAUAAUAAUUAUUUCUACUCAUCCUUAAUUUUUGUUGGUGAAAUCUUGAUUUUUGGGAUAAUAUCACUUAAACUUAAGAAAUAUUUGACAUUAAUGAACUCUAAACAAAUUUAUAUAAGAAAUCAAGACAUCACUUUCAAUCCGAAAUCUUAAACUAAUAGGUUUAUGGAUUUUCUUUAUAUGUUGUUCAUCUUACCAAUUUGAACCCAAUGCGAGACUUUCAACUCUAAGAGAUGAAGUGGUGUACUUUAUGCUUCUAGGACUUGUUAGAUAUUGAAACAUGUACCAUUGCUAAAAUGUUUGAAUGAAGGAGAAGUCAAAGUCUCUCUCCUUUAGAGAUAUUCGCUCAAGUGGCAAGAGGUUGAUUAAGCAAGAGAGAGAUCGUAUUAAUUCUCUCUUCUAUGCAAUUGUUGUCGUUCAAACAAUGUGGAAUCAUUCAAGCAAAGAAAUCUUCUUUUGGGUUAGGAAACAAGGUUUUUCAAGCGAGAUAAACUCGUCUAAAGAAUUUAACUCUAGUAGUGAAAUGUUGUUGCCAUGAUUUAGCCAAGUGUUUGUAUCUAUGAGGCUAAUGAUGAUGAUGACGAUGAUAAGAUGCAUGAAUGUGUAUACACAAGUGUAUGAUAUACCUCAUGUUAUAUAUUGUAUGUGAUUCAAUUGAUGACCAUUUAUUUUUAGGCCAUUUAUAUGUAUAUUUUGGCCCUUUUAUGAGUAUGUGACGAGAUAUACCUAAGAUUGUAUUAUGAUCCUAAUGAGUCGAAGUAUCAAACACAAAACUCAUUAUGGAAAAAAAAAGAUAUUUUGUGCAUCAGUUAUGAUAUGAUCACAACAAUUAAAGCAUGUGUGAACGGUUAAUAUUGUUCUUAAUAAGAAAACAAAUAAUAUUGUAUGUGACAUUAGAGAUGUCAAAUAGGUUUAGAAAAUUAUUAAGUUUAAUUAUCUUUUUAGUCUUUAUAUUAAUGACCAAAAGUCAAUUCAGAUUUUUAGAAAGUUCAAUAUGAUUUAAUUUUUUAAAAAACAAUUCAAUGUGAUUCCUUCUAGUAUAUUUCCCUUAUUAAAAUAUUUUUAUCUUAAUGAUUCUGCCACUGUUAAGUUAUAUGUGUUGUUAUCACAUUGAAUUGUUUUAAAAAAAUUUGGAACCACCACAUUAAAUUGUUUUAAAAAGUUAGUACUAAAUUGAACUUUUGAAAAUUGGGAGAAUGAAAUUAAAUUUUGUCUAUUAAUACAGGGACAAAAAAUAAUUGAAUCAAAUAUUUUACUAUUUUUGUGAUGUAUAUUUAUAUAUAAAUAAUUUUGAGAAUUUAGAGUUACAAUGUGUUAUAUCAUAUAUAUAUAAUUCUUUUUGGUAAUGUAUCCUGUAGUUGUAAGCAAGUAUGAUUAUAUUAAGUGGGGCGUUUCAAAUAGUGGAGACUACGCAUAUACAAAUAUCUCUUAUAAAGUAAGAAAACAAAACAAUCGUUACUCAAGAAGAUCAUGCAAUGCAUCACAGACAACAUGGGAGAUAUAUAUCAACAAUAAUAUGAGUAAAUAAUACAUUCAUGGGCCAUUAGACGAUAUGCCUAAAAAAAAUAUGCAAACUAUUAAAUUUAUAAUUAUUUUUAAUUAGAAACAUGCUGAGUAUGACUCUUAUGAUAUAUGUAUAACUGUGUGCUUCAAAUAAAAGAAAUUUCAAAUCGAAUAAUGUGGAGAAGGCACAAAGGAAUUGCAAAUGAAAACCUGUAGAUGUAUAAUACACAAAACAUGCUUGUCUAAUUUAUUUUUAUCUUUGAAAGUUUAGAACACAAAGGAACAUAGAUAACUUGAAAAACCUGAUCUCCUUCCCAGAGUUGUUCAAGAUCGCAGUAUGGCAUUUCGAGGAUCACUAGAUUUUGUGGGCAAAAGUUUGGAGGCCAGAAUCUUUGAAGGAAACCGUUCCAAUAAAGAAACUUUAGAGUGUCCGGCAGACCUACAAGAGAUGAUUCAAGAGACACUUUUGAAUUCAAUCUAGGCAUGUAGACCAUAAGCAUCAUAAGAUUGUCCAUCUUUUCGAAACUUUGUGCAUGUACUACAGCAUCUUUUACUUUGUUCGUAUGAUAUUGAUAUACACUGUAUUGCAUCUGACCCCUGAAAGUAAAUCAAUGUAAUUAGAAAAAAAAACAUGAAAUGUUGCAUUUCAGGAUGCUUAAUGACAGCUCAGUAGUUUUCUAUUUUUCACAAAGUAACAACAGCAUAUACCUUGUUCUUUCUUAAAACCUCACAAAUUUCCUCAUCAUUAAACAAUCGGCUGCGUUUUCCAGGAUGCUGAGGACACUCUUUACGAACAAUUUCUUUACCCAUUUCUUGUAUUAGAUCGUGCAUCACAAUUCUACCAUCAAAGACAGAGAUUAGACCCCUAUCUUUGAGAAUAUCCAUUCCAAUCUUAGAAGAGAAACCACAGUCAUCAAGUGUUUCUGCUACCACAGUCUCCUCUUGCCCUCUAUAAAAGCAAGCUAUGUCAAGAAAUAUAUUCUUCUCCUCCUCCUUGAGCCCAUAAUAACUUAAUUUUAAUACGUCGAAAGUUCCAAGAUCUUGGCCGUUUUCCAACUUUUGCAACUGACUCUCCCAUGCUUCUCUUGUUCUGCCAUAAAGCAAUGACCCCAAAAUCUGGAGAGCUAACGGAAUUCCUUUUGCAUAUCUCAACACCUUUACUGACAGGUCCAUGUAAGCAAUUCCUUCUGAAGAUUUUUGUUUAAAAGCAUGUAAACUAAAAAGUUUCAGAGAAUCAUAAAAAUUCAACUCCUUAACUUCGUAGAUAUCAUCAGCUCCAGCAUUCUUAAGCACUUGUCUGUCUCUACUGGUCAUAAUGAUUCUACUGCCCUGCCCAAAACUAUCACUCCCACCUAUUAAUUUUUGAAGUUGAGUUGAAUCGGUAACAUCAUCAAGAAUGAGGAGAACCUUUGUCCGUUUGAGCCUUUCAUUGUAAUAUGGUAAAUAAGAGGAUUUCUCUUCCUUUAGAAGCUCAGACUGAUAUUUUGUUCUGAUACCGUCUAUUCCAUCUCUUUGUAUUUUUUCUUGAACGUCUAAAACAAGGCUGCUGGAAUCAAACUGCAAUGCCAAUUUCUGAUAUAUUUGAUCACAAAUUGUAGUUUUUCCUAUUCCUCCCAUGCCACAAAUUCCUAUGAUCCGAACAUCCGUUGACUCAAGAUGCAACAAGGACUGAAUUCCUUCAAUAUUUUUUUCAAUGCCGAUGAUUCCUUGAUCAUAACUGGCGGAAUAACGAUUCAAUUUUCUCAAAAUAUCUUCCACAAUUUCUUCAACAAGUGCGUGUUCUGGCCUGGCAGAUGAUUUAGAAAAUAAAGUAUAAGUAUUCAAGCACAAAAGCUAAAGUAAACUAAAGAAAAAUUUUACAGUAACCGUUUGUGACUUCUGAUACUAGGGAGCAUACUUGUAGGUACAAAGUUAAGCUAUUGUGUGAUAUGGUUCAGAUCUAUGACCGACUAAUAGAAAUGAAAAAAGAAGCACUUGAUUUAUGGUGAGAUGAACACAAUUUUAGUAAAUGAAAAGAGAUCCUGAUUAUCUAAUAAAUAUAAUGACCUGGUGACUUUUGAAUCCCAGCCUGCAAGUCCAGCAGCUUCGGUGAGAGCAUCCUUCCAUCCUUGCACUGUGUCGUGCUUAAAGUGCUGCUCAUGCUCAUUGAAUGCUUCUUUGUAUCUUUCUUCCUGCUUCCUAAUAGUUGAUGGAUCCACCUUGUAGAAAACAGGUAUCACAUCCCUUCCAUAUCUCUUCUUGCAAUCAAGUAUCUUAGUGAGUUCAUCCAAGCACCAUGUGGAAGAUGCAUAGUUUUUGGAGAAAACGAUGACAUAAAUCUUUGAUUCUUCUAUUGCAGAGAGGAGUACAGGUGAAAUUUCUUGGCCCCUGAGUAAUCUGUAAUCAAUAUAUGCUUGAAUGUUCUUCCUUUGCAGCGCUGCAUAAAGGUGACUAAUGAAGUUGUCACGUGUGUCUUCCCCUCUGAAGCUGAGAAACACAUCAUGCUUUGUUAAAGAAGCAGACAUGGCCAAUGAUGAAGGGUUUCAAUGUUCUCUGCAACUCUCAGAUCCCUUUGUUUGUAAGCAACUUCCAUAUAUUCUAUUAGGAAGGAAAAUAUAUAUUUCUACCAUUCCUACCACAAAUUGAAAAAGCCUUUCAAUUUUCUCAAAAUAUCUUUCACAGCUGUGUUCUGUCAGAUACGAAACAUUGAGUCAAUGGAAGAGUCAACAAUUGGCAGAAUAUUAUGGUGUGUAGCUUUAUACCAUUCUUACAAUAUUUGAUUGGUUGAAUAUAUACAAUAUGACUAAUGAACUUUUUUCUUUUCCGUAUUCCACGAUAAUUCCCUAGGCACCCUAUUAUACACUUUCUUAUCAACGGAAACCAUGUCUGUCCUUUUAUAGUUUUAAUCCUAUAAUAUCUUUCCAUUAAUCAUCAUUAUCACUCUUCAACCUUCAUAUCAAGUGUAUUGAUUUCAUACUUCAUCAGCUAGACAUAAUAAAAUCUCAAUAAUCUUUUAUACUGUCAACAUUUAUAAAAAAUAUUUCCUUCAAUAAUAUUUGUACUUUCUAGCAUAUAGAAUACUUAAUGGAUUCUUCUGUGAUUUUUCUUUCCUAAAGUACAAUUGAUAUUUUAACAGAUGCCGAAAGGUCUUGAAUAUGAGGCUGUUUCGAAAUGAAAAUUGGGGUAAAGCAUUUUCAAGUUAACAAGUUUUGUUGGGUGAGUGAGUGAUCAGUGCUAGCAUUUUCAAUCUCAGUUAUAGAAUGUAAAGAUUUACACAUUUAUUUGCUGAUUAAUAAUUUAUUUAUUGAAUUAAAUGUUUUAACAGUGAGUAUGGAUUCUUGAAUGAAUGUAAUCAUGGUGUAGAAUGUACAUAGUACAUAUAGUGAGUUGGAUUGAAAUGUUGAACACGUUUUCCUCUGCAAAGAUUCAGGAUAUUUAUGAACUUGCUAUAAAUUGUUUUAACUUUUCUCUGCAACUCUCAGUCCCUUUGUUUCUACCAUUUUGUUUUUGAAAAGCCUUUCAAUUUUCUCAAAAUAUCUUUCACUGCUGUGUUCUGUCAGAUACGAAACAUUGAGUCAAUGGAAGAGUCAACAAUUCGUAGAAUAUUAUAUUAUGGUGUCAAUAUUUAAUAAAUUUAUUUAUUUCUUUAACAUAUUUUAGAAAAUAACCAGUAAACAUAAAACUUUUAGUAUGACUAAAAGAAUAAAGAUAGUGUAAGAAUAACAGGAAUAACAUUACUACAAAUAACAAUAUAUUAAUAUUAAUAUGUUUCUUAAUAAAUUUUACACCCACUGUCUAUUUAUAAAUUAAUAUAUUAUAAACAUCUAUUGAUUUUUUGUGGGUAGCUUAUUUCUGUAACAUUUUAAAUUAAUUUUUUAGAUUUUACAAAACAUUACAUUUUGAUUAUAAUAUUUAGGACUGUGAUGCAAUUUCUGCAAUGAAGGCUGGCAGACUAAGUUUCUCCAAGCCCAAUUAAUACUGGGUUGAAAAUUCUGAGAAGAGGGUGAGUAUGAUGCUGCGGUCAUGAUCUAUGUAUUAAAGUGUUAAGGCAUGGGUUUGGUUGACAGGACAAUACUGGUUUUUCAUUGCUACUACUUAAUAUGAUUCUUUCUUACUGCUAUAUGAAUUUGCUGUCAAAUAGCAGUAAAUAAAAGACUUCAAAUAAAGCAUGUGUUUAUCAUACAUGGACUAAUGCAGCAGUUUUAGUAGAAGGGGCUAAUAUGAUUUUAAUCUAGAACAAGAUGGCUAAACCCAAAGAUGGUGGGAAUAAUAUCCUCAAAUCAAUUGUUUUGGUUUUCAGUGUAAUGUCAUUUGUAAGUAUCAAAAUUUGUUUGUUAUCACAUUGGAAGGUAGUAUCUGUCAUGAAAUUUGUGGAAGACCUUUACCUAUGUUUGCUUUGGGUCUGUUUUACGCCCUCUCGAAUUAAGUAAAUUUUUAAUUGCCAUCAUGAAAUUAGGCUAAAUAUGUGUAGUUUUGAGCACUUUCUUUCUUCCAUUUCAAUUCAUAGUUUCAUACAUAUUCAAUAUCAUGUGGGAAUUAAGUUCUUGCUUUUAAGGUGAAUAACAGUUUGUAUUCUUGCAGAAAACUAUUUUCUAAUGCAUAUAAAUUUCAUUUUCUAUUUUCAGCAUUGGAUUAUGUUAUGUAAUUUUUCCUUUGUAUUAUACAGAGUAGGAUUUUAAUGUUUCUACUGAACAGUGCUAUCUUUUUUCGUCCAUAUUCUGAUUUUGUUCAAUUUUUUUCAGUAUGUGCCACAUGCAGAUCAGAUGUAAGGAAUUUUCUAAAUUUUUUUUCAAGCUUUCUUGUUUGCUUAAAGUUUUCUGUAAGUAUUUAACUGUCUUAAGUUGUUAAUGAGGACUAAGGACUGAAAAAGAGAAUUAGCCAUGACAUGGUGGCAUUAUCCUUCUUCAAAACCAUUAGUUUUUUUUCCUACAAAGAUACAUGUCAAGAAAGCAAACCAGGAACAAAAGUGAUGUUUAUGAUUGCUUUCUCUCUUGUUUACUUGCUUUCUUUUUGUUGGACAAUUGUCUUAAUUGCAUUCACACCUAACCUGCAGUAGUUUCAGUCCCUUUGGGGUUGUCAUAAUUGCAGCCUCAAGAGUGGUGGUGUAGUCCAACAUCAACCAGUGAUAUAGUUCAAAUAUAGCAUAUACAUGAAAGUCGUGUUGAUAAUCAAAGGUUGCUUCAUCUUAACUAAUAACAUGUAAAUGUCAUUUGAAUGGUUAAAAAGGAAUUCACCAGUGUAACACAAAAUGAAUGGAUUGCUUGGUUAUGUGUCAACUGUUGUACUUUUUUUGAGUUGCUUGAAAAUAAUUAAAAUUUGUUUUCAUCUAGAUCUUGGUUUUUUCCUAUGAUCAAAUCUCGAUUUAUUUCUGUGCAGAACUUUCUUGUGGACAUAAAAGGACCAGCUAUAGCAUUUUUACCGGUGCUUGCAUUUGAAGGAGGAACUAGAAGAAAUAUACCUAGGUUUGAGGUGUGUAUAAAUUAUUUUUGAUGUAUUUCGUGAUGUAGAUGUAAAAUAAUGCAAUACUUUGUUUUUAGUUUCAAUGUUACUCUUUAUCUGCAGGUUGGAAACAUAUCUUGAUGAAAUAUAGAAACAUUUUUAUUCAUAAUAUAUAUAUAAGGAUUACACAUUCAUAAUUAUUUCUUUCUGUCGUAGCAUUGUCUACCUCAAAUCACUGCAACUUUCUGUUGUUGGUAUAAAAAUACAAUAUUUUAAUCCCAGUUUUGAUAGCCUCUAUUCUUCAGUGGUUGAGAUAUUUUUUAUAAGAAUUUAGAAGUUCUGAGAUAUUUAUGAUAAGAAUUUCAAGUUCUUUGUUACUAGCAGUUUAAUGGUUAUAUCAUUUUUGUUCUCUGGAAAAUAUCUUAUACAAAAUCGGUACUUAGAUUUGGUAUUUAUAUUGUUCAUAUGUAGAAAUCUAAUACUAGCAAAUUUUGUCUAAUUUAAAAGCAAUUACAUUCUACUCUUUGGAAUAUGUUCUGGCCUGCUUUUAUGAAUUAUUUGAAAAUUUGUAAUUAUAAAAUUUAGUCUUUGAAAUUAUAAAUUUAAUAGAGAAGCAUCCAUACUAAACUUUUAUAUUAUAAAUUGUCAGUUUUAUAUUGAAAACAUAUCCCCUUUAGUAUAAGACUUAAAGGAGAUGUCUUUUGGUAUAAAAACUGAAAUAAAAAAUAUUUUAACUAUAUGGGUCAAAUGGAUGAUUAAACUUAUAAAAUGUACAAUUAAACUUAUAAAUUAUAAUAAACGAUACUUUAAUUUUAAACUAUAUUGAACUUUUAUUAAUGUUCUCGCUUUUCUUUAAAAGCUAUUGAACUCUAUCUAACAAUAACUUAAAAAUGAGAAAUUCAUGAUAAAAUUUCAACACUUGUAAUCUAGAAGUAUUACGAUAAGCCAGAAGAGGAAGAGACUAGUUGACUGGGUAGCUUUCGGCGUUCCUCUUCCUAUCUUCCCCUGUUUCUCCUGAAGAGUGUGCAACAUUGCUUCCACUGAAUUCUUCAAUGUCAUUUUCUGAUGCAGAAUAGUCAACAGCACCACCAUAUUUAUCAUCUUUCUUUUUCGUAUAAAGAGGGCAUAUGCCGCAUUCUUUUAUUCUGAUACCUGAUUUCAACUCUCUCUCAACUGAUUCGUAAUCUGGCCGAUUUGGCCGCAGAAAGGGAUCAUACGGACUGAUCUCAAAAGUGAAGCUGCGAGCAUCACACAGCCUAAGGCUCAUGCCGCUCGCCAUUAGGGACUCCAAGUUAAAUUUCCACACGAAUGUCCCUUCACCAUCCCAUUUGAAAUAGCUAUUUAACACACCCUUAUAUGGAAUGAUCUGUGUGCCAUCAUCAUAUUCAAAUUUUAGGCUGUAACGAAAAGAACCAUAUCCACCUUUAAUAUCUAACACUCCAAAAGCUACACACAAAGCGAAACCAGUGAGCCUAUCAUCGCUGCAGAAACUUAAAUCUUCAUUUAUAGUCACUGAAUGUCCCUUCCCACGAAAAUUGAACCAACCAGGAACUGCACUCCCUGGAAAACAGAACAACACACACCUAUAUGUAUCGUCGAUCAUCCUAAGCCUUGCAUCCUCCUCGAUGUUAGCACGAGCACCUGAAUCCAGUUGUUGAGCAUUGGUGAAAUGAUAUUUGAAGACACCCUCUUUGGAAUUUGACAAGUUUGGAACAAGAGAAUUUGACAUCACUCUUCUAAUGGAUGGGCAAUCCAAUGCCUCGAGUUGUUCUAGAAAUGGUGGAAUCGGUGGAAUGCAUUCAAGCUUUUUGCAGUCGCUUAAAUCAAGUGAUUUCAGGCUUGAAAGAUGAGCAAUGCUCUCAGGAAGGUUCACGAUUCCGCUAUCACGCAGUGACAGUUCCAUUAAUGACGUCAAGCGACCGAUGUGUCUUGGGAUUUCUGUUAAUUUGGCACACCCCGAACAAUCAAGUUUAGAGAGAAGCUUCAUAUUAACAAUGGAGUUUGGAAGUGACUCGAGAUAAGUGCACUCUUGGAGUUCCAGGGAUCGAAGAUUAACCAAAUUGCCAAAUGAGGAAGGCAGUUCUUUAACAGCCGUACAUGUCAAGUCAAUAUGAGCAAAAGUAUGAGCCGGCUUCAUGAUCUCUGGGAAGGUCCUCAGCCUUGAGCAACCACCCAAAUCAAGCUUCCUCAAUUUCAAAUUGAAAAUGGUGCUUGGAAAAGUUUGAAGUGAAUUACAGUAGGUAAGGUGUAACUUGCAUAGUCUGGUGAGGCUUCCAAUGGAAGAUGGAAUAAUCUCAAGAUUCAAGCAACUGUGCGAACUCAGUUGUUGAAGCCCUACCAAACGGCACAAGGAUGAAAACUUAUUUUAUUUUUGCUGUUCAUGCAUAACAUUAACAAAUAUUGACAUGAGAGAUUGUGUUUGUAGGCUUCUAAGCUCACCAACGUGUCCCGUUCUUGAUGCUUUAGGGAAGAAAAUUUCCUUUGAGAUUGCAAAAGGACUCAGGAGAAUUUAGAAGUUCUGAGAUAUUUAUGAUAAGAAUUCAAGUUCUUUGUUACUAGCAGUUUAAUGGUUAUAUCAUUUUUGUUCUCUGGAAAAUAUCUGAUACAAAAUUGGUACUUAGAUUUGGUAUUUAUAUUGUUCAUAUGUAGAAAUCUAAUACUAUAGCAAAUUUUAUCUAAUUUAGAAGCAAUUAUAUUCUACUCUUUGGAAUAUGUUCUGGCCUGCUUUUAUGAUUGUAAUUAUAAAUUUAAUAGAGGAGAUUACCAAACAUCCAUACUAAUUAAACUUUUAUAUUAUAAAUUUUUUCAGUUUUAUAUUGAAAACAUAUCCCUUUAGUAUAAGACUUAAAGGAGAUGUCUUUUGGUAUAAAAACUGAAAUAAAAAAUCUUUUAACUAUAUGGGUCAAAUGGAUGAUUAAACUUAUAAAUGUACAAUUAAACUUAUAAAUUGUAAUAAACGAUACUUUAAUUUUAAACUCUAUUGAACUUUUUUUAAUGUUCUCGCUUUUCUUUUAAAUGCAUUUCACUUGUGUGUUUUGUAUUCAGGCUGAUUUUAACUUUAUUCUCAAAUAUACAAAAUAAUUUUUGGUAAUUAUCUUGUGUCGAUCUUGACUUGUAGUAUCAAUGUGAAAUAUGUAAUAAUUACUUUUCUAUGAUUCAGAGGGAAAAUUAUUCCAACUAGACUUUUACAAAUAUAUUUCAAGUGGUAAUAUGAUUUUAAAAAAAAUAGGAUUCGCCACAAAAAAAAGUUACUGUUCCUAAUUGACAUGGUGCUGUCAAAAUUAUUUAAUUACAAUUUAGAUCUUCACUCUACAUAUAAUUAAUUAAUUACCAAUUAUUUAAAAGACUAGUAAAUUAUAAUUUUAAUCUCUCUACAACUUUCUAAAUUUAGUUAUGAUUCUCUCAAAAAAAUUUCCCUUAAAUAUUAAUUAUAAUUACCUUUAGACAGAAACAUUUCUAAUUUAAACAAGCAAAAAUAAGAAAAAAAAAUAGAUUACAAAAACUAAAUUUGAAUUUUUUUAUAUAACUCCAAAUAUAUUUUAUCCAUAAAUAAAUUCUAUUAAUAUUUCAUUUCUGUUUAAAUAGUUUAUUCAUAUUUGUAAUAUUAUUUUCAAAAAACAAUAAUUGUUUUUUGAAUAAAGGUUUACAAAUUCUAUAAUAAUGUAAAUGAGAAGAGGAGUGAGGGUAAAAAUAUGAGAACCUAUGUGAGGGAAUCUUGUGACAAUUUAGCUGGUGUUCAACUUGUGAGAAGUCUUUCAACUUGGUUUUCAAGUUUUAUAUUCAAUUUCUGUUCCUUCAAAUGUUUCUGAUUUUACAGCUCCUCAGGAUUUUACAGCUCCAUGCACAAACCUAAUACAAUGAUAUGAUAUUCAAUCAGCAUUAAUUAGCAUAAACAGGUACCUUGUUGUAAAACUGGGAAUAUGAGAUUCCAUAGGAUGGAGAAAAGUAUGAAGAGGAAUUACCAAUCACCAUUUACCAAUCAUAAUGCCUUCACUACAAAUGCAACCCAAAUAUGCUAAAGAAGUUAAUGAAACUAUAUAUGAAGAGUUUCAAGAAGAUGCAACUCUGGGACAACAGAGCAACCCAUCUCAUGCUGAACACAAACAUCAAACUACAUCUAACAAUAAUUCAGAAAUCUUAAUCAACAAUUGAGCGAACCCACUCCUAAAAUGCCAUUGAGAAUGUAAAUAAAUCAAAAUACAUUAAAAACGAGAAAUUCUUAAUAAAAAUUCAACGUGUUGAACCUUGUAAUUUAGAAGUAUUAACGAGAAGCCAGUUUAGAUCCUCACCAAUGAAAGACUAUUUUACAGGUUAGCUUCCACUGGAUUCUUCAAUGUGAACAGCACCACCAUAUUUAUCAUCUUUCUUUUUGGAAUAAAGAGGGCAUAUGCCGCAUUCUUUUAUUGUCACAACUGACCACCCAAAGUCAUAAAGAGGACUGAUCUCAAAAGUGAAGCUGCGAGCAUCACACAGCCUAGGGCUUAGGGAUUCUAAGUUAAAUUUCCAGACGAAUGUGUGAUCUUUAUCAACAAAACUGUAUUCACCAUUCCAUUUGAAAUGUCUGUUUAACCUAUCAUUAUUUGGAAUGAUAUGUGUGCCAUCAUCAUCAGAUUCAAAUUUUAGGCUGUAACCAAAAGAACCAUAUCUACCUUUAACAGAAUUCGUAUCUAACACUCCAAAAACCACACACAAAGCGAAACCAGUGAGCCUAUCAUCGCUGCAGAAACUUAAAUCUUCAUUUAUAGUCACUGAAUGUCCCUUCCCACGAAAAUGGAACCAACCAGGAACUGUACUCCCUGGAAAACAGAAGAACACAGACCUAUAUCUAUCAUCGGUCAUCCUAAGCCUUGCAUCCUCCUCAAUGUUAGCACGACCACCUGAAUCCAGUUGUUGAGCAUUGGUGAAACGAAAUUUGAAGACACCCUCUUUGGAAUUUGACAAGUUUUGAACAAGAGAAUUUGGCAUCACUCUUCUAAUGGAUGGGCAAUCCAAUGCCACGAGUUGUUUUAGAAAUGGUGGAAUCUGUGGGAUGCAUUCAAGCUUUUUGCAGUCGCUUAAAUCAAGCGAUUUCAAGCUUGAAAGAUGAGCAAUGCUCUCAGGAAGGUUCACGAUUCCGCUAUCACGCAGUGACAGUUUCACUAAUGACGUCAAGCGACCGAUGUGUCUUGGGAUUUUUGUUAAUUUGGCACACCCCGAACAAUCAAGUUUAGAGAGUAGCUUCAGACUAACAAUGGAGUUUGGAAGUGACUCGAGAUCAGUGCAUUUGCGGAGCUCCAGGGAUCGAAGAUUAACGAAAUUGGCAAAUGAGGAAGGCAGUACUUUAACAGCCGUAUAUGAUAAGUCAAUGCGAGCAAAAGUAGGAGCCCGCUCCGUGAUAUCUGGGAAGGUACUCAGGCUUGAGCAACCACACAAAUCAAGCUUGCUCAAUUUCAAAUUGAAAAUGCUGCUUGGAAAAGUCUGAAGUGAAUUACAGCGGGUGAGGUGUAACUUGCAUAGUCUGGUGAGGCUUCCAAUGGAAGAUGGAAUAAUCUGAAGAUUGAAGCAACUGCGCAAACUCAGUUCUUCAAGCCCUAUCAAACGGCACAAGGAUGAAGGUAGUGCCUGUAUGGCUGUGGCGUCUAAGAUGAGCACCGCUAGAUCUUCCAACGUGUCCUGAAUCUCGGGUAAAUUUUCCAAUUUUGAGCAACCACGGAGAGAAAGUUGAUUUAUGAAUUUCAUAUCAGAAAGGUCAAUUGGAAAGAUUGUAAGAGAAGAACAGUGAGAGAGAUCUAUGUGAGAGAGCUUCUUGCCACUAAAUUGUAAGGGCACACCUUCGUAGUCUUCUGAGUAUUCUGAGUCUGUAGCAUUAUUAGCAUUUAUCUCUUUCAUCAUAUCCGGUUCCUGACGCUCCAGUAUGACAUGAGGGAGAAAUUUAUCUUCAUGUUCACCCAAUGAAAACAUAUUAAGCUUCUCACAACCGGAAACACUAAUCCAUCCUGGUGAUGUGGAUAAAAUGUUGCUGGGAAUAUUUACACUUUUGAGAUUAGAACAAUGAUCUAAACAUAAACAACUGAGCUUGGUGAGGAAUAUCGAAGAGUGAACUUCAAUCAACUUUGAACAAUAACUCAGCUUUAUUUCUUCAAUAUUCGGUGACAGAGAAAGGUCUGGUAUUCUAGUAAGUUCCCAAGAUUUAACCAGGUCGAGCCUUUUCAAGUUGGGUAAAUUCUGCCAGAAAUAGUAAAUGAAUGAGGUAACAAAUAAAAACUACUUUAUCUAUUUUUCUUCCUAUUUAAACUAUUAGCUACUAUCUAUUGAGUUUAUAUUUUACAUUACUUAAAAACCACUGUUAAAAAAACCACACUGUGGACUAACAAAACUCUGCCUAUAAAUUUUAUAGUUAUUAUAAAAAAUCACAAAAUUUAACGUCUUUUUGUUCCCUACCUAAAAUUACAUCCUAAUCAUUUGAACCUAAACUUAUUAUGUAUUCAAAAACUUAUGAUAGUAAUUUAUAAUCGAUCACAAUGUCAAAAUACUUUAUAUUAUACAUGUAUCAACUCACAAAAUAAAUGGUGUUGUCUCAGAUUUAAAAUUAAACCUUAGUUAAAAAGUCCAUCUUUCCAUAAUUUAUUUUAUUAAAUACAUAAUUUGUAAUUUAUUGUAUAUUAUAUUCAAGUUUAUGUUAUGAUAAAAAAAGUAUCUAAGGCAUUUUUAAUUAAAUAAUAUAAAAUAAACAACAUGAACUCAAUUAAAUAAUAUAAAUUUUUUUGAAUACUCGAUGGAAUAAAAAAAUUAAUAAAACCCUCAAUUUGAAAAUAACCAAAUUUAUAAGAUACUUAAAACUUAAUUAAACCUACAAAUUUUCAUUAUAUGGAAUUAAAUAUUGUAAAGAUUUACCACAUAAGUUUCAUAAGUAGAAGGUUUAAACAUAAAAUUCUUCACGUUGGGAGUUUCUUUCCUCUAUCUUAUAAGUUUUCGUUGUUUCUUUAAUAUUUUUUAUAUGGCUUCUGUCAAUGUAAUUUUUUUUUUGGUUUUAAAAUAUUAUUAAAGAUAAAAUAUGAAGACAGGGUAAUUAAAUUAAAUAUAAUUUUUAUUUUUCAGAAAUGAUGAAAAUUAUAAUUAAAUUAACUAAAUUAUAUAAAAUUCCAUUUUAUUUACAUAACUCAUUUUCAUAUUAAAAAACUAUAUAAGAUCUUCCAAAGUAGAUAUAAUACAUUCACGGGCCAUUAGAUGAUAUGCCUAAAAAAAUAUGCAAACUAUUAAAUUUAUAAUUAUCUUUAAUUAGAAACAUGCUGAGUAUGACUCAAAUAAAAGAAAUUUCAAAUCGAAUAAUGUCGAGAAGGCACAAAGGAAUUGCAAAUGAAAACUUGUAUAUGUAUAAUACAGAAAACAUGCUUGUAUAAUUUAUUUUUAUCUUUGAAAGUUUAGAACACAAAGGAACAUAGAUAGCUUGAAAAACCUGAUCUCCUUCCCAGAGUUGUUCAAGAUGGCAGAAUGGCAUUUCGAGGGUCACUAGAUUUUGUGGGCAAAAGUUUGGAGGCCAAAAUCUUUGAGGGAAAUGUGUCCAAUAAAGAAUCUUUAGAGUGUCUGGCAUAUCCACAAGAGGUGAUUCAAAAGACACUUUUAAUUCCAAUCCCCACGUGUAGAGCCUAAGCACCCUAAGAUUGUUCAUCUUUUCGAAACUUUGUGCAUGUACUACAACUUCUUUUACUUUGAAAGUAGAUAGUGAUAUACACUCUAUUGAAGUAGAUAGUGAUAUACACUCUAUUGCAUCUGACCCCUGAAAGUAAAUCAUGAAAUGUUGCAUUGCAGGAUGUUUGAUGACAGCUCAGUGGUUUGCAAUUUUUCACAAAGUAAAUCCAUUCUCAAUUGAGUAACGACAUAAUACCUUGUUCUUUCUUAAAACCUCUCAAAUUUCCUCAGCAUUAAACAAUCGGCUGCGUUUUCCAGGAUGCUGAGGACACUCUUUACGAACAAUUUCUUUACCCAUUUCUUGUAUUAGAUCGUGCAUCACAAUUCUACCAUGAAAGACAGAUAUUAGGCCCCUAUCUUUGAGAAUAUCCAUUCCAAUCUUGGAAGAGAAACCACAGUCAGCAAGUAUUUCUGCUACCACAAUCUCUUGUGACCUAUAUAAAAGCAAGCUAUGUCAAGAAAUAUAUUCUUCUCCUCCUCCUCGAGCCCAUCAUAACUUAAUUUUAAUACAUUGAAAAUACCAAGAUGUUGGCCCUUUUCCAACUUUUGCAACUGACUCUCCCAUGCUUCUCUUGUUCUUCCAUAAAGCAAUGACCCCAAAAUCUGGAGAGCUAAUGGAAUCCCUUUUGCAUAUCUCAACACCUUUUCUGACAGUUCCCUGUAAGCAAUUUCUUCUGAAGAUUUUUGUUUAAAAGCAAGUAAACUAAAAAGUUUCUGAGAAUCAUCAAAAUUCAACUCCUUAACUUCGUAGAUAUCAUCAGCUCUAGCAUUCUUAAGCACUUGUUUGUCUCUACUGGUGAUAAUGAUUCUACUGCCCUGCCCAAAACUAUCACUCCCUCUUAUUAAUUUUUGAAGUUGAGCUGAAUCGGUAACAUCAGUUAGAAGUGGAACACGUUUGUAGAAGUGGAACACGUUAGUUGGUUAGUUGCCUUAAGAAGCGGAUCAUGUAUUUUUUCUUGAACGUCUAAAACAAGGCUGCUGGAAUCAAACUGCAAUUCCAAUUUGUGAUAUAUUUGAUCACAAAUUGUAGUUUUUCCUAUUCCUCCCAUGCCACAAAUGCCUAUGAUCCGAACAUCCGGUAAGUCAAGAUGCAACAAGGACUGAAUUCCUUCAAUAUUUUUUUCAAUGCCGAUGAUUCCUUGAUCAUAACUGAUGGAAUAACGAUUCAAUUUUCUCAAAAUAUCUCCCACAAUUCCUUCAACAAGUGUGUGUUCUGACCUGGCAGAUGAUUUAGAAAAUAAAGUAUAAGUAUUCAUGCACAAAAGCUAAAACAAAACUAAAGAAAAAUUCAGAGUCAAGAAGAGUGAACAUCAUUGAAUAGAUUCACAUAUUGAUUGUAGGACGUUAUCUUCGAAUAUUAGUGUGGUUGGUUUAGAAAUUGCAAAUCAAGAUCGCAGAAAUUCUACAGUAACCGGUAGUGACUUCUGAUACUAGGAAGCAGUCUUGUAGGUACAAAGUUAAGCUAUAAGAUGUGAUAUGGUUCAGAUCUAUGACCCACUACGAAAAAUGGAAAAAAGAAACACUUGAUUUAUGGUGAGAUGAACACAAUUUUAGUAAAUGAAAAGAGAUCCUGAUUAUCUAAUAAAUAUAAUGACCUGGUGACUUUUGAAUCCCAGCCUGAAAGUCCAGCAGCUUCGGUGAGAGCAUCCUUCCAUCCUUGCACUUUGUCGUGCUUAAAGUGCUGCUCAUGCUCAUCGAAUGCUUCUUUGUAUCUUUCUUCCUGCUUCCUAAUAGUUGACGGAUCCACCUUGUAGAAAACAGGUAUGACAUCCCUUCCAUAUCUCUUCUUGCAAUCAAGUAUCUUAGUGAGUUCAUUCAAGCACCAAGUGGAAGAUGCAUAGUUUUGGGAGAAAACGACGAUAUAAAUCUUCGAUUCUUCUAUUGCAGAGAGCAGUGCAGAUGAAAUUUCUUCGCCCCGGGGUAGUGUCUCAUCAAUAUAUGCUUCUAUGUUCUUCCUUUGCAGUGCUGGAUGAAGGUGGCUAAUGAAGUUGUCACGUGUGUCUUCCCCUCUGAAGCUGAGAAACACAUCAUGCUUUGUUAGAGAAGUGGACACGGGGAAUGAUGAAGAACUUCCUGUUUAAUUUCUUCGCCCCUGUUUAAUCUGUAAUCAAUAUAUGCUUCAAUGUUCUUCCUCUGCAGCGCUGCAUAAAGGUGACUAAUGAAGUUGUCACGUGUGUCUUCCCCUCUGAAGCUGAGAAACACAUCAUGCUUGGUUAGAGAAGCAGACAUGGCCAAUGAUGAAGGGUUUCAAUUUUCUCUGCAACUCUCAGAUCCCUUUGUUUGUAAGCAACUUGCAUAUAUUCUAUUUCUAUCACAAAUCAACUUUUGGAAAAGCCUUCAAUUCAAAAUAUGCUUCACAGCUUUAUAUUAACGUGCCUAGCUUUAUACCAUUCUUACGCAUUGGUAAAGAUUCUUCAAUAUCUUUACUCAAUUUGUUUCUUCAAUACCUUUUACACAUUCUUACGCAUUGGUAAAGAUUCUUCAAUAUCUUUACUCAAUUUGUUUCUUCAAUACCUUUUACAUAUAAAGAAUCGGAUUUGUUUAAUAUAUUUUAGAAAAUAACCAGUAAACAGAAAACUAGGUUAAUAUGACUAAAUGAAUAAAGAUAGUACUCAUAAAAAAUAUUUUAGAUUACAAGUGGUAUAACUAAAAUAAAAUAUUUUAUUUUUAAAAUAAAAUUUAUAAAUAAAUAAAAAAAUAUAAUUGUUUAGUUUUCGGUGUAAAACAAUAUUCAUUUUUAUAAAAAAAAAUCUUUUCUCUUUUAUUUUAUUUUUAUAUUUCUAAUUAGAGUAUUCUUGAGUUUGACAAUAGAAUCCUUUCUUUGGACUUUUGGAAUUAAAUAAAGAUGUUAAUUGAAAAAAAAAAUUGAAAUAGAAACUAAUUUAGAAACCAAAUUUCUUUUUAGUUUCUAAAAUGGUCUCUAAUUUAGUUACUAUUGCAACUAAUUGUUUUGGUUUCUAGAAAUUGGUUUCUAUUUCAUGAUUUUCUUGUAGUGUAUACUGAAGGUGUGCACCCCUAUGAAAUGUUUUUAUUUCUAGUUGAUGUGUGAUUUCCAAUAAUUAUAUAAAUUGAUUGUUAUAUGCAGUGUGAAGUUUAACCUUGAUUUUUACUUGAAAAAAUGGAUUUUAAUAUGAGGUAUGCAUGCUCUCAUACUCAAAUUCAAUAAGCGGAAUUUUCACAUGUCAAUAGAAUUUGAACCUGCAUAGUUUUGGGCACUCUCCACCUCAAAUUCGCUCAAUGUUUUUUCCUGCGUUUAAGCGAAAUUACAUGCAGAUUUUGGAGUACUUUCGGGCUUAAAAUUGCUCAAAGAAAUUUCCCUAUGGCAAGCAAAUUUAAGCUACAAUUGUUUGGGUGUUCUUUGCCUCAAAUUCGUUGCCUCAAAUUCGUUCAGCGAAGAUUUCUCUGGGCUUAAGCCCCAACUUCAUGGGCUCGAGCCAUUUUGACAACAUUUGUCAUCUUUGCUUAGAUAUCUUUUGGUUUGUUUUCUAUAGGUCAUGAAAUUGAAUUAAAUCUUUUGAAAUUUAACAUGUGUUUAAAAUAAGUAAAUCUAACAUUUAUAAUCAUGCAACAUGUGUUUAAUUUAUAAAAAAAAUAUAAAACAAAUACUCAUUAUAUAUUCAAUUGAUAUGUAAAAUUUUAAAUAUUAUGUGAUUAUUGUUGAUAUUUUGUAACGGUUUUAAAAAUAUAAACUUCUAUAUGAUUGAAUGAUAUAUUAUCGAUACAUAGUAAUUUCAAGUAAGGAAAUACUUUGUUAAGGAUAGUUAGGAUGUGUCUUGAUUAGUAAUACAUUUAGAAUAAGAUAUUUGACUCUAUUCACAUAUUAAGGUGGUGACAGUCAAAUGAGAUUUAUAUGAUUUGAUCUACAAUAUAAAAAAUCAUAAUCUAACAUGCCAUAUGAAUUAACCUUGUCAUAUUAGGUGAUUCUAUUAUGAUAUUCUUAUUCGCAUAGAUGUGUGAAUUUCACAAUGGGGUAUUAUAACAUGUGCAAAUUUUUUAGUCUAAAUCAAUGUACGAUUCUUUCAGAAAUAGGGUCAAGUGUACAUGUGGAUCUAAUUAGAUUUUUGACAUGAGUAAUAUGGAACACAAGUCAUUUAGAGACACUUAAUUGUUUAAUAUAUUAGGAAUGAAUGAAGUGUGAUUAUUCAUAUGAUUAUGAUUGAAUGAUUCAAAUAUAAAUUUUAAAAAUCAUUAACUUAGCCUAAUUUCUUGUUAGUAUCAUUUUUUUGUUAGUAUCGUUUUUUUUUUAGAUUUGUUAUGAUCGUGAGUUACAUGUGAACAUAUGAUGUUGUAUGUUAUAGGCCUCAAAAUUGAAAAUGAGAGAGUUUUUUCUUUUAAUUCUUUUGAUGUUUUAUUUUGAUGUAUAUAUUUGAUUAUGAUAUAAUAAUAUUACAAUGUAAAUGUUAUUUAUAUACUAUCACAUGGUAAAUUAAAAUUUAAUAAGGUAGUUAAGGAUGUUAUAAUUAUUCUUUUAAUUUAUUUUAUUUCACUGUAUAUUUAGGUGUAUUACGUAAAAUGUAUAGUUAAAAAAAAUAAUGUUAUUUUGAAAUUUAAGCUUUUGUUAAAAUUAUACCAUUUGAAAAGGAACACAGAACAAUCUUGACAAUUAUACUGACUUAGUACUUAUUUUAAUUUAUUAUAUUCAUGAGUAUUAUUUUUUUCUUAAACAUAAAUAUUGGAUAAAAAAUAUAAAUAACAUUUAUUUAUUUCAAAUUUAAAAAUCUUUAAAAUAAAUAUAAAUAAUAUUUUUAAUCAAGAUGUGUUUUUUAACAAUUUUUUUUAAUUUAAAAAUAAUUAAUUCGGACGAUGAUUAAAGAAAUAUUAACAAAUUAUUUCUGCGAUUAUAAUAAACCUUCAAUAAUUUUUGCACUUUCUAGCAUAUAGAAUAUGGAUCCUUUUGUGAUUUUUCUUUUCUAAAGUACAAUUGAUAUUUUAAAUGUUUUUCUAUUUAAUUUUCCUUUCUUAAUGCACAUAAAAAUUUCAGUGCACAAUUAUUACUCACCUUAAUUCAAAAUGGAAAUUAAAAUUCAAGAACCCUACUUAUAUAUUAAUAUUCAACGAUUUAAAAUAUUAGUAUGCAAAUUAAUCUUUCUUAAUAAUAUUUGUAACAAUUUUUAAUAAUUCAAUGUGAAAUAUGUAAUAAUUACUUUUCUAUGAUUCAGAGGGAAAAUUAUUCCAACUAGACUUUUACAAAUAUAUUUCAAGUGGUAAUAUGAUUUUAAACAAAAAUAGUAUUCUCCACAAAAAUAAAUAGUUACUGUUCCUAAUUAAACAAGUCACAUUCUUGAACAAAAUAUCAAAUAACAAGGAAUUAGACUAUGAAAUGAUGACCAAUUAUAUUAAACAACAUAACAUACAUUUCUCAAUGUACACAAGGUAUAAAUAAUACAAUAUCAUCCAAAACCUGUGUUCACUAUGUAAAUAAACCAUUUUUUUUGCCAUUACCUCUUUCAUGAUGAUGAUUUGUUUACUAGGGAUUGCAAUGAUAGGUCAUGAUCAAAACUUAGGCCUAAGACUAAAAAUAGAAUGAAAUGAGCAUGAAAAUAAAGAUAACUUUUGAGUGAGACACAUUCUUCCUUACAAGCAGCAAGUUCUUCCAGGUUAUCUUCUCUUCCUUCAACCGUAGCUGUGCAACCGCCUGUUGUUCAUUGCCACCAAUAUCUCUAGUGCCAAAACUAUGUUUUCCAAAAUUAGAGUUAUAUGGCUUUAUCUGUGAAGUCUUACCAGCCAUAAUGUUUUAUUUUACUGUUUUGUUGUAAUCAUGCCAAUAGAUAAAUCGUGGAUUUGUAAACCACGAAACACCAUUGAGUAUGCAAAUGGGUUGAAUGUGUUUUUGGAUAUUGCAUUUCAACAUGCUAAUGGUCCUGUAAUUAAGUGUCCAUGUGCAAAGUGUGGUUUCAAAAAGUGACAAACAAGGGAUGUAAUCCAAGAACACUUAACAUUUACAACUUUCCCUCAGAACUACAAAACUUGGUAUUUGCACGGUGAAAGACCAAGUGUAAUUGAGCCUAUGGUCACUACAAGUGUGCAUGUCAUUGAAGAUUUAUUUGAAUCUCAAAAUACAAUGGAAGACAUGUUGAAUGAUGCAUUCGAGUUUGCGGGACAUGAUGAGGAUACUGAAGUUGAUGGUUUGCAAACUAAUAUGGUGGGUGAUGAAGGAAUAUGAACUUUGAUGAAUUGAUGAGGGACAAUAAUGAACCCUUAUAUGAAGGUUGUACAAAGCAUUCGAAGUUAUCAUUCAUGUUGAAGUUGUACCAUAUCAAAUGCAUGAGUAGAAUGAGUGACAAAGCAAUGACCAUGAUUCUAGACUUGCUAAUGAACACAUUUGAACAUGCUAAGUUUCCUAACUUGUUUUAUGAGGCGAAGACUGUGAUUACCAAACUUGGACUUAAUUAUGUCAAAAUACCAGCUUGCCCAAAAGACUGAAUGCUAUAUUGGGGCGAAGACAAUGAAGGCUUAGAAGAAUGUAAACGGUUCAAAACGUCUAAGUGCAAAAAAAAAAAAAGAUAAGAAGCAAUUGCAUUACUUUCCAUUAAAACUGUGAUUGCAAAGAUUGUUUAUGAGUUCUAAGAUGAUUGAGUCUAUGACAAGGCAUGCAUCAAAGGAUAAUCAAGAUGGAUUGAUGAGGCAUCCUAGAGAUUCUGAGGCUUGCAAAUCAUUUUAUUGCAUCCAGAAUUUGUAAAUGACCAUUGAAAUGUACGAUUAGACUUAGCUGCUUAUGGCUUUAAUCCUUAUGAAAACAUGAGUAAAAACCAUAGUAUAUGACGAGUGGUUAUCAUCCCAACAAUCACCCUCCUUGGGAGUUAUGAAGCAAACAUCUUUUAUCCUCUACAUGAUAAUUUCUGGAAAACAAAUGGUAGAAAAUGACAUUGAUGUUUAUUUAAAACCACUUAUAAGCAAAUUGAAGGAGUUAAUAGUAUGAUCAUGUAAUUAUUAUUUAUAUACUAAAUAUUACGACAUAUAGUAAUUUAAAAUUUGAUAAGGUAGAUGAGGAUAUUAAAAUAUCUCUUUUAAUUUAUUUUAUUUUAUUGUAUAUUUAGGUGUAUUAUGUAAAAUAUAUAAUUAAAAAAAAUAAUGUUAUUUUAAAAUUUAAAGAAUCACGUAUAGAAAGAAACAUAUAACAAUCUUGACAAUUAUAUUCUGACUUAGAGAUACUUAUCUUAAUUUAUUAUAUUCAUGAGUAUUAUUUUUUUCUUAAACAUAGAUAUUGGAUAAAAAAUAUUAAUAAUAUUUAUUAUUUAAAUUUUAGAAAUAUUUAAAAUUAAAAUUAAAAUUAAAUAAUAUUUUUAAUUAAAAUAUGAAAAAAAUUCCUUAACAAUUUUUUUAAUUUCAAAAUAAUUAAUUCAGAGGAUGAUUGAAAAAAUAUUAACAAAUCAUUUCUGCGUUUAUAAUAAACCUUCAAUAAUAUUUGUACUUUCUAUCAUAUAGAAUACUUAAUGGAUCCUUUUGUGAUUUUUCUUUUCUAAAGUACAGUUGAUAUUUUAAAUGUUUUUCUAUUUAAUUUUCAUUUCUCAAUGACAAAUAAAAUGGUUCAGUGCACAAUUAAUUAUUCUCACCUUAGAUUUCAUUCAUCUCAUUCCAUUUCCACACUCAAAUCAUUCUCACAUUUUUUUCUACCUAUUUCACAAAGUUUUUGUUAAAAUAUGGAAAUUAAAGUUCAAGAACCCUACUUAUAUUUCAUAUUCAACAAUUUAAAAUAUUAAUAUGCAAAUUAAUAUUUCUUAAUAAUGUUAUUUUUAUGUAAAAAUUAAAAUGUAGUUUAGUCAUUCAUACUUAGAUGGAUAAAAAUGGUUUUAGAAAGAAAAAAAUAUGCAUUUUUUUGAAAGGUUAUCUAAACUCUAAACUCAUUGAUGAAUUAAUAAUAAUAAAUAAUAUGGAAUUCUAUACGAAUAGCAUAUAAAUGUUUUCUUGUUGAAACUGAUAAUUAAUUCAGUCUAGGGACAAUUAUCGCGGUAUUUGUUCUUUUAUUUUUAAUGUUUAAACAAUUAUAAAAUUCUGUUUUUAGAUAUUAAAAUGAUAGUUUUCAUUUACAGAUUAAAAUAUUACUUGUUUCUUUUAAGAUUUUUUGUAUUAUAAUUAUUUGUUGUCUGAAUUGUUUUGAUUUAACAUGUUGUUUUCUUGGGCUAUGAUAUUGUGAGGUUUUAUUACAUGCAGGUACGUGAAUAUUUUUUUUAUCCUAGUUGUAUAAAUCAGGAAAAUUGUUUUUCACAUUAUAAUAACCGUUUAACAACUCUAAAUAAUAAUAAAAUAUUAACUCAUAUUGUUUAAUUAAAGUAUAAAUUAAAUUAUUAAAUAAAAAAGUAGUAAAACUGGUUGCAGGAUGGGAAUAUGAUUAUUUUUAACUGCUAGCUCCUGAUUAUUCUUUUCUAAUAAAAAAAACACCAAUAGCAACAAAACAAGUUUUGACACACGUAGGUUUGGCAAUUGUUUUAAUAGCUGAAAAUAGUACAACAAUUUUUAAUUACCACAAACUGCAUCUUAAAUCAUAAAAAAUUAGCAUUUUGUUAGUUCAUAUAUAAUAAAAUUUCCAUAAAACAGCCAAUUGUAUUAAUUAUUAAUAAUGUAUUUACAAUUUUUUUAGAUAAUUUUUUUACUAUAAAGACAUUUAUUUGAGAUUGAAAUUGUAAUUAACACUUUUUGGUCAAAGAAUAAUAUAUUUCACUUGAUUUUUUGUAUUAAAUAUUUUGUAUAGCGCUGAGACAAAAAAAAAUCUCAUAUAAAUCCCUAUGUGCUACAAGUACAAUAUAACAUCCUUAAUGUAAGCAAUAAAAAUGAUGAAUACUCAAAGUCGUGUAAUUACGCAAAAGAAUCAAGUGAUUUUUAAAAGAACUCACAUGAUCAGUUUAAAUUUUGACGAUAAAAUACAUUAAUUAUAUAUAUUUAUUCAAAAUUUCAAUUAUAUUAUGCAUUAAUGGUUUUAUGCUUUUAGAGGAAUCAGAGAAACUUAGAAAAGCUCCUAAAAACUAAUGUAACCCUAUGAAUAGAAGAGAGCUAAAAGAAAGAGAAAAUGGAAGUGAGAAAAGAUGAUAAUUAAUAAACACGCUCUCUUCAUAACAUAGAGUCUUUAAACCUAUAUUCCCUCAAACAAUUAUAAAGAAUUAACAAUCACACUUUUAUAAGUCAUCACCCACAUGAAACAAAACAAGGUGCCUCAAUAUGAAUAAACCAAGAUUAAUAAGAAAUAUGAGGUUUCACUAACCAAGCUCAGAAUUUUCUGCUUUUAUAGCUCCAUGCACAAACCUAAUACAAUGAUAUGAUAUUCACUGCAAAUGCAACCCAAAUAUGCUAAAGAAGUUAAUGAAACCCAAAUAUAAAGAAUUUGAAGAGAAUGCAACUCUGGGACAACAGAGCACACCAUCUCAUGCUGAACAGAAACAUCAAACUAUAUCUAACAAUAACUAUACCUAUGUUUGCUUUGGGUCUGUUUUUAGUUUCAAUGUUACUCUUUAUCUGCAGGUUGGGAACAUAUCUUGAUGAAAUAUAGAAACAUUUUUAUUCAUAAUAUAUAUAAGGAUUACACAUUCAUAAUUAUUUCUUUCUGUCGUAGCAUUGUCUACCUCAAAUCACUGCAACUUUCUGUUGUUGGUAUUUGCAUAUCACGAUGGUUAUUGAGAAAUUUAGGAGUUUGCUGUUGUGUACCAGAAGUAAAAUAGAAGGUUCAUUUUUUGGUCAUCAUCAAUUAUUAAUGUAAAUAGAUAUAGGUGAAGGAGAUCAGUAUUAUGCAUUGUAUCAUGGACCAUUAGAAGACUAGGGUCACCAAUUGGAGGCAUUGGUAACUUUGGCUAGUAAAACUAAAACCAAAGUCCAUUUUUACAAAGCCUUGGUCUAAUUCACCUUAUAGCUGUACUUUUUCCUCCAUUUUAAUAAUAUUAAGUUUUCAUUUUCUAUGCAUAAUCUUGGGUAAUUUUCUUUUUAUAUCAAUGCUUGAAGUGUCAAAUUGUUACAAGCUGGAUUAUUAAGAAAGAAAAGAGUGCAUUCUGGAUGCUCGAAAGGGAGUGUUUCCUAGAAAAAAAAUGUGAUUUCAGGGUGUCCAGGCUCAGGUAGCAAUGGUAGGAGUUCCACAUUGAAAUGGAUGAACUACUUGAUUUAGUACUUUGGGACUCUCUCACCUAAUGGACUAGUAUUUUGGGUUAGCUUCUCUCCCCUUAAUGCUUAAGUCCUAAAAAACAGUUUUUCUGUUUCUAUUUAUCUUUUAGGGUGUGAUUAGGACCAUGAAGCAGUGGGUGUUUUUUCCAUUAAUGAACUUUGCCACUGCCACAGAUCACCUAGGUUAACCUAAUUAAGUCUUCUGAAUUGUAUUUUGUAAUUAAUUCUUGUAAAACAUGGAGUGUAAAAUUCAUGUACAUUUUUCUUUUCCUCUUUUGAUUUGGAUGUCAAACUAGCAACUUCAUGUUUUGUCUGGUUGGUCUAUCACAUUUAUGUAGGUUGUAAUCUAUUUUGCCUAAUGCAUCAGUUGCAGAUAGGUACUAAAUUAUCUUAGUUCGGAUACACCUUGCCAAUUAGAUUAAGAUCAAGAAUUUAAAGUGAAUGGUUCACUUCUGAGUUCUUAAAUGAGAUAAAAUGUUCAGAGAUACUAAAUCAUCGCCUUCAUUUGAAAAUUGGCGUGCCUAUUAUGCUUUUGAGAAAUAUUGAUCAAACCAACGGUCUUUGUAAUGGAACAAGGUUGCAAGUUAUUGAUUUGAAGAAAAUGUUAUUUGUGCAAUAGUUCUAACAGGAACAAAUAUUGGUGAUAAAAUCUUCAUUUCAAGAAUGAAUUUGAUCCCUUUAGAUGUAGGUAUGCCAUUCAAAUUCCAGAGAAGACAAUUUCCAAUAGCUUUAUGUUUUGCAAUGACAAUUAAGAAAAGCCAAGGUCAAUUAUUGACCAAAGUUGGUUUAUAUUUUUCACAUCCAAUUUUCACACAUCGAUAGUUGUAUGUAGCUAUUUAUAGAGUUCGAAAGAAAAAAGAUUUAAAAAUUCUAACUCUUGAUGAAGAUGGAAUGCAACAAACAAGAAAAAGAAAAUGUUUACACUGAAAUUUUUGACAAUAUUUGAAAACAAUAGAAUUAUAUGAUAAACUUGGAAUGGCUAAUUCUCCCUGCAACCAAUAUUUUUGAACCUGCAACUUUUAAAUUUUUGAAAAUGCUCUUUAUUCCAGAAAUGAAAAUAAUACAUUACAAAAAAAAUAGAUCCAAAAAAGAUUAUUGUGUUUUGGUAAUAAAAAUCGGAAAACAAAAAUCAAAAGCCCAUUAUGAAUAAGAAAAUUCGUAAUACAAAAAAUUUGGUCUUAAAAACAAAAUCUGAAAACAUAUUCCAGAAAGAAAAUCCGAAAUGUAUUUUUAUAUAUAACCCAUUUUUUCAAGGGAGUUUCGUCUUUUCUAUUGUAAAAGGGGUUGGAAUUUGCUCCCUUGGAAUUAUAGUUUCUUAUGUGUGAUGUAGUAACAGUUGCCUUAUUUAAAAUGUUACUAAAUAACAUAUAAUUUAUAUCUGUUAUUUUUAUUCUGUUAUGACUUUAUAUAUUUGUCACAACAUGAAUGAGGCACAAACCCAUCUCAUGUUAACGAAGUUGAGAAUUUUCUGAUUUUACAGGUCCAUGCAAAAAUCUAAUAUAAUGAUAUGAUAUUCAAUAUCAAGAGGUACUUGUCGUAAAACGGGGAAUAUGAGAGACUCCAUAGAAUGAAGAAAAAGUAUAAAGAGGAUUUACAAAUUAACCUUUCAAAUGCAGCUCCUCAGAAUUUCAUAAUGCCUUCACUGCAAAUGCAACCCAAAUAUGCUAAAGAAGUUAAUCAAACAAUACAUGAGGAGUUUCAAGAAAAUGCAACUCUGGAACAACAGAGCAACCCAUCUCAUGCUGAACAGAAACAUCAAACUAUAUCUAACUUAGAAAUCUUUGUCAACAAUUGAACGAACCCACUCCUUAAAUACCAUUGAAAAUGUAAAUAAAACAAAAUAAAUUAAAAACGAGAAAUUCAUAAUAAAAAUUAAACGUGUUGAACCCUGUAAUUUAGAAGUAUUAACGAUAAGGCAGUUUAGAUCCUCACCAAUGAAAGAGACUAGCUGACUAGGUAGCUUUCGGCCUUCCUCUUCCUAUCUUCCCUUGUUUCUCUUGAAGACUCUGCAAUAUUGCUUCCAUUGGAUUGUUCAAAGUCAACAGCACCACCAUAUUUAUCAUCUUUCUUUUUCGUAUAAAGAGGGCAUAUGCCGCAUUCCUUUAUUGUGAUACCUGAUUUCAACCGAAAGUGAUAAUCACACGGACUGAUAAGUGAAGCUGCGAGCAUCACAGAUUCUAAGGCUCAUGCCGCUCGCCCUUAGGAACUCCAAGUUAAAUUUCCACACGAAUGUGUGAUCUUGAUCAACACAUCUCUCUUCACCAUUCGAAAUAGCUGUUUAACACAUCUAUCAUCGCUGCAGAAACUUAAAUCUUCAUUUAUAGUCACUGAAUGUCCCUUCCCACGAAAAUGGAACCAACCAGGAACUGCAGUCCCUGGAAAACAGAAGAACACAGACCUAUAUCUAUCGUCGGUCAUCCUAAGCCUUGCAUCCUCCUCAAUGUUAGCACGACCACCUGAAUCCAGUUGCUGAGCAUUGGUGAAAUGAAAUUUGAAUACACCCUCUUUGGAAUUUGAGAGGUUUCGAACAAGAGAAUUUGGCAUCACUCUUCUAAUGGAUGGGCAAUCCAAUGCCACGAGUUGCUUUAGAAAUGGUGGAAUCUGUGGGAUGCAUUCAAGCUUUUUGCAGUCGCUUAAAUCAAGCGAUUUCAAGCUUGAAAGAUGAGCAAUGCUCUCAGGAAGGUUCACGAUUCCGCUAUCACGCAGUGAUAGUUCCAUUAAUAACGUCAAACGACCAAUGUGUCUUGGGAUUUCUGUUAAUUUGGAGCACCCCGAACAAUUUAGAGAGAAGCUUCAGAUUAACAAUGGAGUUUGAAAGUGACUCGAUAUCAGUGUAUUUCUGAAGCUCCAAGGAUCGAAGAUUAACGAAAUUGCAAAAUGAGGAAGGCAACUGCGCAAACUCAGUUGUUGAAGCCCUACCAAACGGCACAAGGAUGAAGGUAGUGCCUGUAUGGCUGUGGCGUCUAAGAUGAGCACCGCUAGAUCUUCCAACGUGUCCUGAAUCUGGGGUAAAUUUUCCAAUUUUGAGCAACCACGGAGAGAAAGUUGCUUUAGGAAUUUCAUAUCAGAAAGGUCAAAUGGAAAGAUUGUAAGGGAAGAACAGUAAGAGAGAUCUAAAUGACAGAGCUUCUUGCAACUAAAGUGUAAGGGCACACCUUUCAUGAAUUUUGUCAACACUUCUAAGUAUAUAGUAUUAUUAGCCACUUCUUCUUCUUCAUUAUAUCUGUCAAAAGUAAUUGAGGAAGUUGGGAAAAUAUGACCACUGUAUGCACGAGGUUCACCACGCCGUCCUGCACCAUGCCGUUCUGAGAAAUUUAUCUCUUUGAUCAUAUCCGGUUUCUGGCGAUGGAAUCUUGAGAAAGUUUGACGUUGACGCUCCACGCUCCAGUAUCACAUGAGGGAAUCUUGAGAAAUUUCCACGUUGAUGCCCCAGUUUCUGAUGUGGGUAUCUUGUGACGCUCCAGUUUCACAUGACGAAAUCUGGGUUCACUGGUUGAAAACAUAUUAAGCUUCCCACAACAGGAAAUAUUAAUCCAUCCUUGUAAUGUGGAUAAAAUGUUGCUGGGAAUAUUUAUACUAUUCAGAUCAUAACAAUUAUCUAAACAUAAAUAACUGAGCUUGCUGAGUAAUAUCGAAGAGUGAACUUUAAUCAACUUUCCACAAUAACUCAGAAUUAUUUCUUCAAUAUUUGGUAAGAGAGAAAAGUCUGGUAUUCUAGUAAGUUUCCGAGAACCACUCAGGUCAAGCCUUUUCAAGUUUGGUAAAUUCUGCCACAAAUAGUAAAUGAAUCAGGUAACAAAUAAAAACCACUGUUAAAAAAAUCACACUCUGAACUAACAAAACUGUGGCUAUUCACUAUCAACAAUCCCUCUCAAAUACACUUCUACUAAUACAUUAACAACAAUAUCAUUAUAUUAACCAUAAAAUAUUACAUUUCUUCAGUUAAUACGUAGGACAAUAUAAUAAUCAGGUCACUCAGCUAAUGAAAAAAAUUAAACAACAUGAACUCAAUUAAAUAAUAUAAAACUUUUGAGUACUAGAUAAAAUAAGAAAAUUAAUAAAAAUUCAAUUUGAAAAUAAUCAAAUUUAUAAGAUACUUAAAACUUAAUUAAACCUACAAAUUUUCAUUAUAUGGAGUUAAAUACUAUAAAUAUUUACCACAUAAGUAGAAUGUUUAAAUAUAUAUUUCUUCACGUUGGAAGUUUUUUUCCUCUAUCUUAUAAGUUUUCUUUGUUUCUUUAAUAUUUUUUAAGCCAAUGUGAUUUUUUUAAUAUAAAAUAUUAUUAAAGAUAAAAUAUGAAGAUAGGGUAAUUAAAUAUAAUUUUUUAUUUUUUAGAAAUGAUGAAAAUUAUAAUUAAAUUAACUAAAUUAUAUAAAAUUCUAUUUCAUUUACAUAACUACUUUUCAUAUUAAAAAAACUAUAUAAGAUCUUGAAACUAUAAUUAAUAUUUCUACUCAUUUUUCGUUUUUGUUGGUGAAAUCUUGAUUUUGGGAUAGUAUUAGUGAGAUAUUGUUUGGAGUUAAAAACAAGAAAUUCUUUUGCAUAAUCAAUUUGAACAGUUUUGAUUUUGAAACCAGAUUUUCAGAGAAGAGUUUAAAGCGUUCAAAUGCAGCAAGAGCUUGAGAUUUAGCAUGCUAGAGAUAAAUUCAUGUAUAUUUUAAAUAUGCAUUAGGAAAAGAGAUAUCGUAUGAUGCAACAUUAUUAGCACAAACAACAAACAGCAGAACGUCCCCAAAUAUCAAUAUAGAUAAAUUCUAAAAGGUGAUUAUCCACACUGUUUUAGAACAACUUUGAUUACAGAAAAACUAUAACGCCCAAGUCUAUUAUGCCACAAGUGAAAAGAAGUUUUUUCAUAUUUAAAAGAUGUGUAGUUAGCAGAAAAAACAGAGGAUCAGAGAUCAAGAAAGACAGAGAGAUCAUCUUUAAGUGUGCCUUGUAGAAGAAUCUGUUUAGUUACUUAGUCUUUAACAUAGCAAGAAUGAGGGUGAAAUUCAAAAAACACAUUGUUGUUACGAGCAAACUUUGAAACACUAAGCAAAUUCUUAGUAUAAUGAGAAACAUGUAAAAGAUCAAGGAGAGAGAAGGAAGUACAAGAGGUAGACGACACACAGGAAGCAGAACCAAUGUGGGAGAUUUUUAUACCUGCACCAUUACCAAGUUUAACGUUCGCAAUGCCAUGAUAGAUUUGUUGAUCAUUGAACAGAGUAUGGUCGUUUGUUAUAUGGUGAGAGACACCGCUAUCUGGGUACCAUAAUGGAUCUUCUAAAGAUGAUGGUGGACCAAGAAGAGAGUAAGAAGAGUCAUCACGUGGAGGUGGAGAGAAAUGAGAUGUGUUUGCAGAGGAGGAUGGUGGUGUAGUACGAUCAAACCAGUGCCAACAAUGAAGAGCAGUGUGUCCAAGUUUGGAGCAUAUUUGACAGCGAACAGGGUUGCGUUUCCAUGAUGAAGACGUAGUGGAGUUCCAAGAAGAGUAUUGGGAAGGUCGGGGUUUGCCGCGGUUGAACUGAUUCUAGUUAGAUGUGGGAUUGUAACCACGACCACCACAGGAGGAGUUGGAAAAGGGGAGGUGGAGAGAAAUGAGAUGUGUUUGCAGAGGAGGAUGGUGGUGUAGUACGAUCAAACCAGUGCCAACAACAAUGAAGAGCAGUGUGUCCAAGUUUGGAGCAUAUUUGAGAGCGAACAGGGUUGCGUUUCCAUGAUUACGACAGUAAUAAAUGUAUUAUAUUCUUCAGAUAGCCUUCAAGGAUGAUGUCAAUAUGAUCAGUGGAAACAGGGGCAUCAAUAGCGGCAAGCAUGUUGACGGCGUUCUUGAUAUCAUGGAGAUAGGAGGAGAUGGAUCUGUGAUGACCUGAUUUUGUUGUUGGUACCAUUAGAGACUUGGGGACUGUCAUCAGUGGUGGAAGAAGUGGUUCUUGAUGGAACACUAGUGUCGUCAAGAAAAUGACCCAGUUUGAGCCCGCAAAUGGAGGCAAGGACUUGAUGUUUCCAGAGAAGAUAGUUAUCUUCAUCUAGUUUAAGAGUGAUGGGUGUUGUGAACUGUUGAACGGAAGGCAUGACCAGAGGUAACGGGCAAGAAGAAGAUGCAAAAGAAGAUGAAGAGAUAUGAGUGCAGUGCAUUAGAAUAGAGAGAGAAAGGAGAAAGAUAUUAUCUUAGUAUAUGUGCUAAAGGUAUAUAAGGAGUGCAGAACUGGAAACACUUACAAAGUUGUCGUUACACAGUUAUAGUAUGGUUAACAAUGUAUAAUACAGAAAACAUGCUUGUGUACUUUAUUUUUAUCUUUGAAAGUUUAGAACACAGAGGAACAUAGAUAGCUAGAAAAACCUGAUCUCCUUCCCAGAGUUGUUCAAGAUGGCAGCCUGGCAUUUCCAGGGUCACAGUCUGGCAUUUCCAGGGUCACUAGAUUUUGUGGGCAAAAGUUUGGAGGCCAGAAUCUUUGAGGGAAACCGUUCCAAUAAAGAAACUUUAGAGUGUCUGGCAGACCUACAAGAGAUGAUUCAAGAGACACAUUUGAUAUGAAUAUAGGCAUGUAGACCAUAAGCAUCAUAAGAUUGUCCAUCUUUUCGAAACUUUGUGCAUGUACUACAGCAUCUUUUACUUUGUUCGUAUGUAGUAAUAUACACUGUAUUGCAUCUGACCCCUGAAAGUAAAUCAAUUUAAUUAGGAGAAAAAAAACAUGAAAUGUUGCAUUGCAGGAUGUUUAAUGACAUCUCAGUGGUUUGCAAUUUUUUACAAAGUAAAUCCAUUCUCAAUUGAGUAACGACAUAAUACCUUGUUCUUUCUUAAAACCUCUCAAAUUUCCUCAGCAUUAAACAAUCGGCUGCGUUUUCCAGGAUGCUGAGGACACUCUUUACGAACAAUUUCUUGACUCAUUUCUNNNNNNNNNNNNNNNNNNNNNNNNNNNNNNNNNNNNNNNNNNNNNNNNNNNNNNNNNNNNNNNNNNNNNNNNNNNNNNNNNNNNNNNNNNNNNNNNNNNNGAUCCAUCUUUUUCUGCUGCUACCAUGUCGAACUCCCUUCAAAUCAAUACAAUGUCUUCACCAUCAAUCAGCCAAGUGAUUAAUGUUAAACUCACACAAGAAAAUUAUUUAUUGUGGUCUGCUCAAAUCCUUCCCUAUUUACGUAGUCAGGGGCUGGUUGGGUUUGUGGAUGGAUCCAUGCCACCACCAAACCAAACGAUUACGGUUGAGUCAAGUGAAGAAACAGGGAGCCGCAAAAUCCUGAAUUCACAGUCUGGUACCCCCAGGACCAGCUGGUACUCAGUCUCAUCAACUCAUCGGUUACCGAGGAAGUUCUCAGCACGGUGGUCGGAAUCACCACUGCACGAGAAGCCUGGGAUAUGCUGGAGCGGCAAUUUGCCUCCACAUCUCGAGCACGAGCAAUGCAGAAUCAUAUGGAACUCUCCACGAUCCAAAAGAAGGACAUGACAAUUGCUGACUAUUUUCGUAAAGUAAAACGUCUCGGAGACACUCUGGCUGCCAUUGGCAAGCGAGUAGAGGAUGAAGAACUCAUCGCCUACAUGCUGCAAGGACUUGGUCUAGAUUAUGAUCCUCUUGUCACAAGCAUUACAACUAGAACAGAUGUUUACACUGUCAGCGAUGUGUAUGCUCAUAUGCUGAGCUACGAGAUGCGUCAUCUGCGUAAUGGUACUCUUGAGCAAUUUCCUUUUGCUAACAAUGUCAACAGCAUGUCUAAUCGAGGAGGAACUAAUGGACGUCGUGGUGGUCGUGGUCGUCAAUCAAAUGGUGGUCGAGGACAAACAUGGCACACUAGAAACAAUUCUGGACGUCAGCCAUCAAAGGCACAAAGUAACUCAGACAAAGUCUGUCAGAUUUGUGGUAAGCCAAACCAUGAUGCUUUGCAAUGUUGGCACAGAUUUGAUCAGGCAUAUUAAGCCGAAGACAAUCUUAAACAAGCAGUUGUGGCCACAAGUGGAUAUACUGGUGAUGCAAACUGGUACGUAGAUACUGGAGCCACAGAUCACAUCACCAACGAGUUAGAAAGACUUACCACCAACGAACAUUACAAUGGCACUGAUCAGAUUCAAGUUGCAAAUGGCUCAGGUUUUUCUAUCUCUCAUAUUGGGAACUCAUUAAUUUCUGGUUCAUCUAGAUCUCUUGUACUGAAACAUAUCCUAUAUGCUCCUAAAAUCAAUAAACAUCUGAUUUCAGUACAAAGACUAGCAUCUGAUAAUAAUGCCUUUGUGGAAUUUCACCCACACUGUUUUUUUGUUAAGGACCGAGCCACGAAGGAACUUCUGCUCACAAGUAGAUGUAAGAAUGGCCUCUACACUUUACCAAAUAACUCCAGCAAAGCAUUCCCGACAGCCAAACUUUCGAAAGAACAAUGGCAUAGAAGACUUGGGCAUCCUGCUUUCCCAGUCACAAUUAGAAUCUUGAAAAAUAAUAACUUAGCUCUAGAUACUAGAGUUUCUUCUUCCUUAAUUUGCCAUGCUUGUCAACUAGAAAAGCACAUCAAUUACCCUUUGUUUCUUCUCAACAUGUAUCUACAGCACCUCUUCAAUUGAUUCAUACUGAUGUAUGGGGUCCAGCCAUUGUCUUAGUGAAUAAUUCUAAAUAUUAUGUUUCAUUUGUUGAUGAUUUUAGCAGAUAUGUUUGGAUUUAUUUUUUGAAAUACAAGUCUGAUGUUGAGUCUGUGUUUCAUCAGUUUCAAAAACAUGUUGAAACCAUGCUAAACACCAAAAUUCGCUCUGUCCAGUCAGAUUGGGGGGGUGAAUACCAUCGUUUGCACCAAUAUUUCAAAACAACUGGAAUUGAGCAUCGUCUUUCUUGUCCUCACACACAUCAGCAAAAUGGGUUGGUAGAAAGAAAGCACAGACACAUUGUGGAAACUGGCCUUACUUUACUUGCCCAAGCUAACAUGCCUUUGUCCUAUUAGGAUGAAGCCUUCAAUACAGCUUGUUACCUUAUAAAUAGACUACCAUCUCGAAUCAUACAAGCAAGACACACCACUUCAUAAAUUAUUUGCAAAAAAUCCAGAUUACACCAUGCUUAAGGUGUUUGGCUGUGCUUGCUGGCCCAAUUUAAGGCCUUACAACACCAAGAAACUGAGUUUUCGAACCACUAAGUGUGUCUUCUUAGGCUAUAGUUCUUCUCAUAAGGGAUACAAGUGCUUAGAUAGAAGUACAAAACGAAUUUACAUCUCUAGAGAUGUAAUCUUUGAUGAAAAUGUGUUUCCUUUUGAAGAAUUAAAUUCUAAGUCAUCAAUCCAAACCAAAAAUUCACACCAGCCUGCUCUACUUCCAACCUUCGUUAAACCCGUUCCAUACACUGAAAAUGCUCUCACAAAUAUUGAACCAGUUGUUAAUGAUUCUCGUAUAAUUGAUGGUCAAUCUAAUGAUGUUGCUAAUAACAACUUGUCUGGUAUAAGCUUACAUCCUGCAGAUAAUACAAUAAGUCCAGAAAUUGUUGCAGAACAGGAAGCUGAGAACAGUCUGACCAAUUUCCAAGAACAGAUGUUCNNNNNNNNNNNNNNNNNNNNNNNNNNNNNNNNNNNNNNNNNNNNNNNNNNNNNNNNNNNNNNNNNNNNNNNNNNNNNNNNNNNNNNNNNNNNNNNNNNNNGAACAAGAUUGAAAAAUAACAUUGUCCAAGCAAAACAGUUCACUGAUGGUACUGUCAGAUAUUCAGAGACCUCAAGAAAGUUUACCGGUGCUGUCACUGUCAAAAAUCCGACCACAAUAAAUGUACUAAAAAAUGCUACUGAGACUGAUACAGUUACUGAACCUCAAAACCUGCAGGAAGCUCUACAAAGUCCAGGUUGGCAGGAAGCAAUGAAUAAUGAGCUCUCAGCAUUACAACACAAUGAGACUUGGGAUUUCGUUCCACCAAAACCUGGCAUAAAUCUCAUUGAUAGUCGAUGGGUGUAUAAAGUGAAAAGGAAAGCGGAUGAAUCAGUGGAGAGAUUGAAAGCAAGGUUGGUUGCUAAAGGGUUCAAGCAAAGAUUUGGCAUUGAUUACAUUGAUACCUUUAGCCCCGUGGUCAAGCCAUCAACAAUCAAAGUUAUUCUUUCACUAGCAGUAACCAAAGGCUGGAAUAUGAGACAAGUUGAUAUCCAAAAUGCAUUCUUGCAUGGAAUUUUGGAAGAGGAAGUGUACAUGCGACAACCAUCGGGAUUUCAAGACCCAUAUAAACCAAAGGAAUACAUAUGCAAACUCAAGAAAGCGCUUUAUGGCCUGAAACAGGCUCCAAAGGCUUGGCACUCAAGACUGACUGGAAAACUUAUGGAAUUAGGCUUUAGAGCUUCUGUAGCUGAUUCAUCUUUGUUUAUCCUCAAAAACAAAGAGGUAACCAUCUAUAUGCUCAUAUACGUUGAUGAUAUAAUUAUCGUGAGCUCCUCUGAUCAAGCCACCGAAAGGUUGAUUCAGAAGUUGAAAAUAGAUUUUGCUAUAAAAGACUUAGGUGGUCUUGAGUAUUUUCUGGGUAUUGAAGUCAAGAAGGCAAGAGAUGGCAUCACANNNNNNNNNNNNNNNNNNNNNNNNNNNNNNNNNNNNNNNNNNNNNNNNNNNNNNNNNNNNNNNNNNNNNNNNNNNNNNNNNNNNNNNNNNNNNNNNNNNNAAAUUAUUCAAAGAGCAGGGAACACUCUUGUCAAUUGAAGAACAAUUUAAAUACAGAAGUACUGUGGGAGCAUUGCAAUACUUGACAAUGACCAGGCCUGAUUUGGCAUUUGCUGUCAACAAGGUUUGCCAAUACCUUCAUACGCCUACUGAUGCUCAUUGGAGUGUUGUAAAGAGAAUCCUUCGUUAUGUCAAGGGCACAUUAGAUUUGGGAAUCAGAAUUCAGAAGUCUCCAACAAUGCUGCUGUCCGGAUUUUCUGAUGCUGAUUGGGCUGGUUGUCCUGAUGAUCGACGUUCAACUAGCGGCUUUGCUGUAUUUCUUGGAGCAAAUCUAAUUUCUUGGAGCUCUAGAAAACAAACCACAGUGUCCAGAUCGAGCACCGAAGCAGAAUACAAGGCCAUUGCGAAUCUGACAGCAGAAAUGAUUUGGAUAAAAUCAUUAUUGAAAGAGCUUGGUGUGUAUCAAUCAAAAGCUCCUCGACUCUGGUGUGACAAUCUAGGAGCUACAUACUUAACUUCAAAUCCAGUGUUUCAUGCAAGAACAAAACAUAUUGAAGUUGACUUCCAUUUUGUUCGAGAACAAGUGGCACGCAAAGCAAUGGAAGUUCAGUUUAUUUCAUCAAGUGAUCAAGUGGCUGAUAUCCUAACAAAACCACUGUCUAGAACUCUCUUUAUUACACAUUGUAACAAUCUCAACAUGUAUAAAACCUGUUGGGAUUGAAGGGGACUGUUAGAAUUAGUCAGUUAGAAGUGGAACACGUUUGUAGAAGUGGAACACGUUAGUUGGUUAGUUGCCUUAAGAAGCGGAUCAUGGAUCCAACCGUGUAUGCAAUCAGUUACCUUUCUUUAAUUAUAAAUACAAUACGUCCUCCACAUAGAGAGGUACAGUUAGCAAACUUUAUUAGAGCUGAAUCGGUAACAUCAUCAAGAAUGAGGAGAACCUUUGUCCGUUUGAGCCUUUCAUUGUAAUAUGGUGAAGAAGAGGAUUUCUCUUCCUUUAGAAGCUCAGACUGAUAUUUUGUUCUGAUACUGUCUAUUCCAUCUCUUUGUAUUUUUUCUUGAACGUCUAAAACAAGGCUGCUGGAAUCAAACUGCAAUGCCAAUUUGUGAUAUAUUUGAUUACAAAUUGUAGUUUUUCCUAUUCCUCCCAUGCCACAAAUUCCUAUGAUCCGAACAUCCGGUGACUCAAGAUGCAACAAGGACUGAAUUCCUUCAAUAUGUUUUUCAAUGCCGAUGAUUCCUUGAUCAUAACUGAUGGAAUAACGAUUCAAUUUUUUCAACAAGUGUGUGUUCUGUGCUGGCAGAUGAUUUAGAAAAUAAUGUAUAAGUAUUCAAGCACAAAAGCUAAACUAAAGAAAAAUUCUACAGCAUCCGUUUGUGACUUCUGAUACUAGGGAGAAGACUUGUAGGUACAAAGUUAAGCUAUAACAUGUAAUAUGGUUCAGAUCUAAGACCGACUAAUAGAAAUGAAAAAAGAAGCACUUGAUUUAGGGUGAGAUGAACACAAUUUUAGUAAAUGAAAAGAGAUCCUGAUUAUCUGGAAAGUGCGUGACCUGGUGACUUUUGAAUCCCAGCCUGCAAGUUCAGCAGCUUCGGUGAGAGCAUCCUUCCAUCCUUGCACUUUAUCGUGCUUAAAGUGCUGCUCAUGCUUUUCGAAUGCUUCUUUGUAUCUUUGUUCCUGCUUCCUAAUAGUUGAUGGAUCCACCUUGUAGAAAACAGGUAUGACAUCCCUUCCAAAUCUCUUCUUGCAUUCAAGUAUCUUAGUGAGUUCAUUCAAGCACCAAGUGGAAGAUGCAUAGUCUUGGGAGAAAACGAUGACAUAAAUCUUUGAAAAAUAAGUAUGAAAUCUAGAUAUAUAUCAUUAUCACGUGUGGAAGCUACGUCGUCUUGUAUUGGAUUUUCUAAUCUGCCUUUUAUCUUGUCUCAUUCUUCUUUAUCUUUUUUCUCUCAUCUCUCUUGCUUACGAUUUCUUUGCCUUUAUUCAGAAAUUUUAGUUAUAAUAAACCUUCAAUAAUAUUUGUACUUUCUAGCAUAUAGAAUACUUAAUGGAUCCUUUUCUGAUUUUUCUUUUCUAAAGUUCAAUUGAUUUUUUAAAUGUUUUUCUAUUUAAUUUUCCUUUCUUAAUGACACAUAAAAUGGUUCAGUGCACAAUUAAUUAUUCUCACCUUAGAUUUCAUUCAUCUCAUUCCAUUUCCACACUCAAAUCAUUCUCACAUUUGUUUCUACCUGUUUCACAAAGUUUUAGUUAAAAUAUGGAAAUUAAUGUUCAAGAACCCUACUUAAUAUUAAUAUUCAACAAUUUAAAAUAUUAAAAUGCAAAUUAAUCUUUCUUAAUAAUGUCAUUUUUAUGUAAAAAAUAAAAUGUAGUUUAGUCAUUUAUACUUAGAUGGAUAAAGAUGAUUUUAGAAAAAAAAAAUGCAUUUUAUUUCAAAGGUUAACUAAACUCUGAACUCAUUUAUGAAUUAAUAAUAAUAAAUAAUAUGUAAUUGUAUUCCAAUACCAUAUAAAUUUUUUUUAUUGGGUGCGUUUCUGAUGAAUUAAUGCACUCUAGGGACAAUGAUCGCUCUAGUAUUUGAUUUUUUAUUUAUUUUAAUGUUAAAAUUAUAGCUAUGUAGUACAGAUAUUACUGACACAGACAGACACGAACACGGACACAGAAAUACAUAAAAUCUCUAAAAUGUAGAAUACGGAGACAUUAAUCUAUAUAUUAUAUAAUUAUGAAUCAUAUAAAUUAACAAUAAAGAUUUAUGUGCACAAGUAUUUUUGAGAUUAUUUUUUAGAACAGAAAUAUGUUUUUCAUGACUAGUUCACAAAUAUUUGUUUCUUAUUCUUAUAAUCAUAAUAACAAUUUAUACCAUAAAGUUUCAAUUUUAGAAAAUUAAUGUAUUUUUUCUUUUUAAAAUUUCGUUAGAACUGUACUAGAAUUGUAAAAAAUCUAACAAAUACAUUUUGAAUUGGACAUUCCACGAAUACGUGUCCUACCAGUAUUUUGAACAACAUUCUUUCUUUUGGAACAAAGAGGGCAUAUGCCGCAGUCUUUUACUGUGAUAACUCAUUUCAACUCUCACACAACUGAUUCGUAAUCUGUGGGAUGCAUUAAAGCCUUUUGCAGUUAAAUCAAUAGUAUAUGAUGAUGUGAAUGUUAUUUAUAUACUAAAUAUAAUCACAUAGUAACUUCAAAUUUGAUAAGGUACAACAUGUUACCAUAUCUCUUUUAAUUUAUUUUAUUUCAUUAUAUAUUUAGGUGUAUUUAAUUUCUUUUAUUUCAUUGUGUAUUUAGGUGUAUUACGUAAAAUAUAUAAUUAAAAAGAAAGAAGAAUAAUGUUAUUUUGAAAUUUAAAGAAGACAUAUAGAAAUAAACAAGCUUUUGCUAAGAUUCCACCAUUGAAAAGGAACAUAGAACAAUCUUGACAAUUAUACUUUGACUUAUUUUAAUUUCUUAUAUUUAUGAGUAUUAUUUUUUCUUAAACAUAGAUAUUGGAUAAAAAAUACAAAUAACAUUUCUUUAUUUCAAAUUUAAAAAUAUUUUAAAUUAAAAUAAAAUAAUUUUUUAAUUAAGAUAUAACAAAAUAUUCUUUAACAAAUUAUUUUAAUUUCAAAAUAAUUAAUUCAGAGGACGAUUGAAAAAAUAUUAAAUAUUAUAAUAAAGCUUCAAUAAUAUUUGUACUUUCUAGCAUAUAGAAUACUUAAUGGAUCCUUUUAUGAAUUUUCUUUUCUAAAGUACAAUUGAUUUUUUAAAUGUUUUUCUAUUUAAUUUUUCUUUCUUGACACAAAAUGUUCAGUGCACAAUUAAUUACUCACCUUAGAUUUCGUUCUUCUCUUUCCAUUUCCACACUCAAAUCAUUUUCACCUUUUUUUUCUUCUUAUUUCACAAAACUUUAAUUAAAAUAUGGAAAAUAAAGUUCAAGAACCCUGCUUAUAUAUUAAUAUUCAAAAAUUUAAAAUAUUAAUAUGCAAAUGAAUAUUUCUUAAUAAUUUUAUUUUGAUGUAAAAAAUAAAAUGUAGUUUAGUCAUUCAUACUUAGAUGGAUAAAGAUGGUUUUAGAAAAAAAAAAAGAAUAUGCAUUUUAUUUGAAAGGUUAUCUAAACUCUGAACUCACUGAUGAAUUAAUAAUAAUAAAUAAUAUGGAAUUCUAUUCCAAUACCAUAUAGGAUGGAGAAAAGUAAGAAGAGGAUUUACACAUUACCCUUUCAAAUGGAGCUCCUCAGGAUUUCAUAAUGCCUUCACUGCAAAUGCAACCCAAAUAUGCUAAAAAAGUUAAUGAAACUAUAUAUGAAGAGUUAAUGAAACUAAAUGGCGUGUGCUGAAAUUUUUGAUCCGAUAACCAUGCCCACAUUCAAAAAGUGAAAGGUUACUUUGCUUUAUAUUCCUUUGGGUGGUGCUACUUUUCAACUUGACAACAAAUUCCCAUUAUUGUGUGGUUAUCAAUUACCAUUUAACUUAUUCUCAUACCACAUUCACUAUAUAAUAGUCCAUCAUAAACCCCAAAAUUUGCACAUUUUCUAUUUGCAAGACAUCCAACAGACAAAGAAAACAUGUGAAACUGUGUAAUAAUGUGAGAACGUAAGAACUUACUUCAUCAUGAAAUCAAGCCAUGCCUGAGGGUUUUUUCUGAGAGCAUUCACCACAGGUGCAUAUUCAUGUGGCUGUAUCCCAUACUCAGCUAGUAUUUCUGCUACCUCUGCCGCUUCUUUUUUUGUCAAAAAACACAUAUUCAUUAUUAAUGUGCAAUCAAAUGGUAACGAAACUAUGUAGUACAAACACACACUGAUACGACACUAGGACGAACAUACGUAUAAUGUUACUCCUUCUAUGGAAAUGAAGGAUAUUCAGCAAUAACUUUUAAAACUCAUUACAUAGAAAUUUGCAUCAAGUUAUCAAAGUCUAUAGGAAUGAAUUUUCAAUUCAUGGAAACACAGAUAACAAAAAGUAAUAGAAAAAUAGAAAAAAAGUUGUCAAAUGAUUCUAUAAAAAAUUAACCUAUCAUGAAAAUCAAGAUGAUAGAAAAUAAAAUAAUGUGGCAUGAACAUCAAAAUCGUAUAAAAGCAUAAUAGAAGAACAGUGGAUACCAGUUUCUGGCACGGCGAUGAUUUCUUCUUGCUCUCUUUUCAAUUCCCUCGAGUAAUUAUCGGCUUCACUUUUUGCUGCCAAAUAACUGCACAAUGAAAAUUAACAUGAAAUAAUAACGGAAUUUAAAUUGAGUUUUGUGAGUGUGAAGAGUGUGGUUGAACGUACCCGCCGAGGCCCAUGGAGAUGGCGCCGGCGGCGACUUCCGCUAUGCCAGCGGUGAGAACGAUGGAGGAGGUGACAUUGGCGCCGGAGAGGCCGGCGGCGAGGGCGAAGGGGACGGUGAGGCCGUCGGAAACGCCGAUGAUGAUGUCGCGGACUAUUUCGCCGGCGGUGAAGUGCUUCUCGGUGUGGUGGUUGAGAAGGUUCGUUCUCUCAGAAUCCACGCUUAUGCCGUGUUCGGUGGCGGCCAUUGGUGCAAGCUUGUGAAUGUGUUUGAGUUCGCCAACGUGCUCUGGGAAUCCAAACAAAGCCUUGCUGCUUUGCACAUAAAUUGAGCCUCUUUUGUGCUCAACUUACUCCUAAAUAGAACAAAAAUAUCUAACCGUUGAUGAUAUCCACGUGGAAAAUUAUCAAUGGAUAUCAAUAUCACAUUAUUUCUACACUAAUAUUUUAAUUAUUUUUAAAUAUUAUAACUAAAUCAAUCAAUAUAAUACCAAAUCUUCUUAAUUCUUUGGAUUAUAUAUAUUUUAUUUUAUUUUAUUUAUAAAGGAAGUUGUGAUAAAUGUUGUGUUUUGUGUGCACAUUAAUAAAAAUCAAAUAACCAAAAAAUAAUAAUCUUGUGAAAGAAAAAAUGGUAGAAUUUAUACUAUUCUACAAAAUUUUAAAAGUGGCUAAUGUGUUUUACUCAACUAUGUAAAUAAUUUUGGACUCUCUUGUUAAGGAAAUAAUGAAAUACAUUAAAUUUUGUUUUAUACUCUUACUUUAAGUUUUUUUGUGUUUCUCCUGACUUAAUUAAAUAUCAGAGAGUCGUCUUUUGCAGGUAGAUUUCAUUCUAUCAUAAUAUACCAACUGAAAACUUGUUUUCUGAAAAACACACGGCUCUCACCGAAUUGCACUUUCCAAUUUUUUUUAAUAGAAAUAAUAAUAAUUAAGUAUUUGUGUUCUUAUAUUUAAUUUUUAAUAAAAAAAUUAUUCUUAUGUACUUCUAAAUUGAUAUAUUUUACCAAUGUCUAUUAACAAUGGGAAGAAGUUUAUACCUAACAAAACUAUUUAACAUGAUUUGUUUGUAAAUUAUAGAAGUAUGUGUAGAAAGAUAUAAAAUUAAUGUUUUAAGAGAAAUUUAAGCAACUUUCAUAAUAUAUUGUAGAUUAUUAGUUGAAUUUAUGGAAAUUAAAAAUAAAUUGUAGGUCACCACACUUCCACUUUUUUUUAAUGAUAUCAAAUCACAACUUUACAAUUUUCACUAAUUUUUAACCAAUAACAAAAGAACAUCUUAGAAGAAGUGUGUUUAAGAAUUUGAUGUUAACUCUCAUUGUUUUUUAAACUUAAAUCCAGCUUUAUUCUUCAACUUUUAAUUUUUAUACAUAUUUAAUUGUAUAUAUAGUUUUUAACUCUCUAAAAUCAAACAAUUUUAAUUCAUUAAAUAGGCAAUGUCAUGAGUGUUAAACUUUUAACAUUUUUCUAGUAAUUAAAUUACUUAUGAAGAUUCAACUAAUUCAAAAUUUAAUAUUUUUACAAUUUUUAUUAUAAUAUUCUUAAAAUAUAUUUUAAUAUUUUGUUUUUCAUGUUUGAAAUAUAAAUGUUUUAAAAAAUCAUUUUAAAUUAUUUUGUUUCUCAUCUUAUGUAAUAAAUUACUAUAAUAAUUACUAAAACAUUUAAUACCUAUACAUUUUUAAUGAGCAAAAACUAAUAAUGAAUUAUAACAAAUAAAAAACGUUUCUGGGCAACAAAAUAGUAAUUAAUAUGAAUUAUAACAAAUAAUGAACGUUUUGUGGUAAUUUGUUUCACUUUCAAAUAAGUUAGUACUUCGCCUGUUAUUUCAUAACGGUAGUUUUUUUAAAUAUAUUAAGAAAAAUGUUUAUUUUUUUAUUUUUAAUGCACUUUUAAGUAACUUGCCUAUUAUAUUAUAUUAUAUGGGUAUUAUAUAUAUAUAGGUAAGCACCAAAAAAUAAAUUUAAGGUAAAAGUGAUAUAAUUAAAAUAAAAUAAAUUAUUAUUAAAUAGAAAAUAUAUAUAAUUAAAAAAAUCAGUUAUUUAAGUUUUAUUUUAAAAUAAUUUUUGUAAAAAAAUUUUCUUUUUUUCCUUGUUCACGAUUUUAAAUUUUAUAUUCACUUGGUAGACAUGUUUUGCAUGUGGUGUUUGGGACUUAAAAGAAUAAUAUAUGUUAGUUCAAGAUCCUAAUGAUGUGUUUUUAAGAAGUUGGACUAUCUUUGUUUUUUUAAGAAGUUGAAGUCUUUUUAUGAAUACUUAUCUUUUUAAACAGGUAAGAUAAACUAGUUUUAUCUGUAAAACUUAAGUUAGAAUAUCUGAAUAUGAAAUGUGAUUCUUCAUAUGAUUAUGAUUGAAUGAUUCAAAAUUCAAGUAUAAAGUUUUAAGAAUCAUUAACUUAUGUUUUUUUUUUUGUGCUAUUUUUUUGAUUUUUUGCAAUGAUUGUGUGUUGCAUGUGAGCAAAUGAUGUUACAAGUUGUAAACCUAAAAAAAAAUCAUGAAAUUUUGUCUUUUUUAUUCUUUUGAUAUUUUAUCUUAAUGAUAUAUAUAUAUAUAUAUAUAUAUAUAUAUAUAUUUAAAAAUCUCUAUAUGAAAGGAUAGUAUUUUAUGAUAUAAUAAUAUGAUAAUGUAAAUGUUAUUUAUAUAAUAAAUAUCAUGAGAUAAUUUAAAUUUUGAUAAGAUAAAUGAAGAUGUUACAAUAUCUCUUUUAAUUUUUUUUUAUUUCAUUAUAUAUUUAGGCGUAUUUAAUUUCUUUUAUUUCAUUGUAUAUUUAGGUGUAUUACGUAAAAUAUAUAAUUAAAAAGAAAAAAUAAUGUUAUUUUGAAAUUUAAAGAAUGACGUAUAGAAAGAAACAAGCUUUUGUUAAAAUUCCACCAUUGAAAAGGAACAUAGAACAACACUCUUGACAAUUAUACUUUGACUUAGAUACUUAUUUUAAUUUAUUAUAUUCAUGAGUAUUAUUUUUUCUUAAACAUAGAUAUUGGAUAAAAAUUAAUAAAAUUUAUUUAUUUCAAAUUUAAAAAUAUUUAAAAUUAAAAUAAAAUAAUAUUUUUAAUUAAGAUAUAAAAAAAUAUUCUUUACAAAUUUUUUUAAUUUCAAAAUAAUUAAUUCAGAGGAUGAUUGAAAAAAUAUUAACAAUCUAUUUAUGCGUUUAUAGUAAACCUUCAAUAAUAUUUGUACUUUCUAGCAUAUAGAAUACUUACUGGAUUUCUUACUCUUUCUUUCUACACCUCUAUCCAUACUAAAUAUAAAAAUACCAUUUUAUUCUUUUUUCUCCACCCCUUGAAUUUGAAAUAAUAAGCCCAUGGAUUAUGUAAUCUGGAUAUAUUCCGGAUUAGUCAAUUUCAUAUUUAGAAAAGACUUUCGGAUUAUGUAAUCCAGAAGCUAAUAAAACAUCUGAAAAAAAGGCUUCCGGAUUACAUAAUCCGGAAGCUAAUCUUAUGUAUAGAAAAGACUUUCGCAUUAUGUAUUCCGGAAGCUAAUCACAAAAGACUUCUGGAUUACAUAAUCCAAACGCUAAUUCUAAAUCUAGAAAAAAGACUUCCGGAUUAUGUAAUCCGGAAUAUUAAAAAAGAUAUUUUUGAAAUACGAAAAAUUUAUGGGGGUGACACAAGAAGGUAUGGAGGUGCAGGAAGAAACAGCCUGGAUUCCUUUUGUGAUUUUUCUUUUCUAAAGUACAAUUGAUAUUUUAAAUGUUUUUCUAUUUAAUUUGUCUUUCUUAAAUGACACAUAAAAUGUUCAGUGCACAAUUAACUACUCACCUUAGAUUUCGUUCUUCUUUUUCCACUUCCACACUAAAAUCAUUUUCACAUUUUUUUUACCUAUUUCACAAAAAUUUAAUUCAAAAAUGGAAAUUAAAGUUCAAGAACCCUACUUAUAUAUUAACAUUCAACAAUUUAAAAUAUUAAUAUUCAAAUUAAUCUUUCUUAAUGUUAUGAAAAAUUUAAAAUGUAGUUUAGUCAUUCUUGGAUGGAAAAAGAUGGUUUUAGAAGAAAAAAAUGCAUUUUAUUUGAAAGGUUAUCUAAACUCUAAACUCAUUGAUGAAUUAAUAAUAAUAAAUAAUAUGGAAUUCUAUUGGAAUAGCAUAUAAAUGUUUUGUUGUUGAAACUGAUAAUUGGGUGCGUUUCUGAUGAAAUUAAUUAAUGCAGUCUAGGGACAAUUAUCGCUCUAGUAUUUCAUUUUUUUAUUUUUAACGUUGAAAUUAUAAUUAUACAAUUCCGUUUUUAGAUAUUAAAAUGAUAGUUUUCAUUUACAGAUUAAAAUAUUACUUGUUUCUUUUAAGAUUUUUUUGGUAUUAUAAUUAUUUGUUAGCUGAAUUGUUUUGCGUUAACAUGUUGUUUUCUUGGGCUAUGAUGUAAGCAAUAUAAAUGUUAUUUUUAAUGUAAGCAAUAAAAAUUAUGAGUAUUCAAAGUCGUGUAAUUACUUAAAAGAAUCAAGUGAUUUUUAAAAGAACUCACACGAUCAGUUUUAAUUUUGACGAUAAAAUAUAUUAGUUAUAUAUAUUUAUUCAAAAUUUCAAUUAUACUAUGCAUUUAUGGUUUUAUGCUUUUAGAGGAAUCAGUAACUUAGAAAAGCUCCCAAAAACUAAUGAAAUCCCAUGAAUGAAGAAGGAGAACAAAUGGAAGUGAAAAAUCAGUAAGAUGAUAAUUAAUAAACACCCUCUCUUAAUAACAUAACAUAGGAGUCUUUAAACUUAUAUUCUUCAAACAAUUAUAAGCUGUCUUCAACUUUACUGUUAAACUACAAUUAUAAAGAAUUAACAAUCUCACACACCAACAACAUUUAUAAGUCAUCACUCACAUGCAACAAGGUGUGCCUCAAUGUGAAAAAACCAAGAUCAAUAAGAAAUGAGGUUCCACUUAACCAAGCUGAGAAUUGUCUGGUUUUCCAGCUCCAUGCACAAACCUAAUACAAUGAUAUGAUAUUCAAUACCAAGAGGUACCUUGUCGUAAAACUGAGAAUAUGAGGUUGCAUAGGAUGGAGAAAAGUAAGAAGAGGAUUUACCAAUUACCCUUUCAAAUGCAGCUCCUCAAGAUUUCAUAAUCCCUUCACUGCAAAUGCAACCCAAAUAUGUUAAAGAAGUUAAUGAAACCGAAAUAUGAAGAGUUUCAAAAUAAAAAUUUAACAUGUUGAAACUUGUAAUUUAGAAGUAUUGACUAUAAGGCAGUUUAGAUCCUGACCAAUGAAAGACUAAUAAGCAGAAGAGGAAGAGACUAGUUGACUGGCUAGCUUUCGGCCUUCCACUUCCUAUCUUCCCUUGUUUCUCUUGAAGACUGUGCAACAUUGCUUCCACUGGAUUCUUCAAUCUCAACAGCACCACCAUAUUCAUCAUCUUUCUUUUUCGUAUAAAGAGGGCAUAUGCCGCAUUCUUUUAUUGUGAUAACUGAUUUCAACUCUCUCACAACUGAUUCGUAAUCUGGCCACCCAAAGUCAUAAUCACACGGACUGAUCUCAAAAGUGAAGCUGCGAGCAUCACAUAGCCUGAGGCUCAUGCCGCUCGCCCUUAGGGACUCCAAGUUAAAUUUCCACACGAAUGUGUGAUCUUUAUCAACACAUCUCUCUUCACCAUUCCAUUUGAAAUAGCUGUUUAACACAUCAUUAUUUGGAAUGAUCUGUGUGCCAUCAUCAUCAGAUUCAAAUGUUAGGCUGUAACUAAAAGAACCAUAUCUACCAUUCAUAGCAUACGUAUCUAACACUCCAAAAACCACACUCAAAGCGAAACCAGUGAGCCUAUCAUCGCUGCAGAAACUUAAAUCUUCAUUUAUAGUCACUGAAUGUCCCUUCCCACGAAAAUUGAACCAACCAGGAACUGCACUCCCUGGAAAACAGAAGAACACACACCUAUAUGCAUCGUCGGUCAUCCUAAGCCUUGCAUCCUCCUCAAUGUUAGCACGACCACCUGAAUCCAGUUGUUGAGCAUUGGUGAAAUGAAAUUUAAAUACACCCUCUUCGGAAUUUGAGAGGUUUCGAACAAGAGAAUUUGGCAUCACUCUUCUAAUGGAUGGGCAAUCCAAUGCCACGAGUUGUUUCAGAAAUGGUGGAAUCUGUGGGAUGCAUUCAAGCUUUUUGCAGUCGCUUAAAUCAAGCGAUUUCAAACUUGAAAGAUGAGCAAUGCUCCCAGGAAGGUUCACGAUUCCGCUAUUACGCAGUGAAAGUUUCAUUAAUGACGUCAAACGACCAAUGUGUCUAGGGAUUUCUGUUAAUUUGGGGCACCCCGAACAAUCAAGUUUAGAGAGAAGCUUCAGAUUAACAAUGCAGUUUGGAAGUGAGUCGAGAUCAGUGCAUUUGUGGAGCUCCAGGGAUCGAAGAUUAACCAAAUUGCCAAAUGAGGAAGGCAAUUCUUUAACAGCCGUAGAUGUUAAGUUAAUGUGAGCAAAAGUAUGAGCCGGCUCCGUGAUCUCUGGGAAGGACCUCAGCCUUGAGCAACCACCUAAAUCAAACUUCCUCAAUUUCAAAUUGAAAAUGGUGCUUGGAAAAGUUUGAAGUGAAUUACAGUGGGUAAGGUCUAACUUGCAUAGUCUGGUGAGGGUUCCAAUGGAAGAUGGAAUAAUCUGAAGAUUGAAGCAACUGCGCAAACUCAGUUGUUGAAGCCCUACCAAACGGCACAAGGAUGAAG